CUCUUGCUUGAGUUUGCUGCAGCAACUCUACUCUUCUUCAUCACCCGCUUCUUCAUUCGUUCUCUCCUUCCCAAACCUUCCCGGAAGCUCCCCCCUGGCCCCAGAGGGUGGCCGCUCCUCGGCGCUCUUCCUCUUCUAGGUAACAUGCCUCAUGUUGCAUUAGCAAAGAUGGCCAAAAGAUACGGGCCUGUCAUGUUCUUGAAAAUGGGCACUAACAGCAUGGUGGUGGCCUCAACUCCCGAGGCGGCUCGGGCUUUCCUUAAAACGCUAGACAUUAAUUUCUCUAACCGCCCGCCUAAUGCCGGUGCCACACUCUUGGCCUAUCAUGCCCAAGACAUGGUUUUUGCGGAUUAUGGGGCAAGGUGGAAGCUACUGAGAAAGCUAAGCAACUUACACAUGCUUGGUGGGAAGGCUCUUGAGGACUGGUCUCAGGUCCGAGCUGUUGAGCUAGGCCACAUGCUUCGAGCCAUGCUUGAGUUGUGCCAGCGAGCGGAGCCGGUGGUGGUGCCGGAGAUGUUAACUUUUUCCAUGGCCAACAUGAUAGGUCAAGUGAUUCUAAGCCGCCGGGUGUUUGAAACAAAAGGGUCGGAGUCAAAUGAGUUCAAGGACAUGGUGGUGGAGCUCAUGACCAGUGCUGGGUACUUCAAUAUUGGCGAUUUUAUUCCGUCCAUCGCAUGGCUGGACAUCCAAGGGAUCCAGCGCGGGAUGGAGCAUUUACAUAGGAAGUUCGACUGGUUAUUAACAAAGAUGAUGGAGGAGCACACGGCGUCAGCCCAUGAGCGGAAGGGAAACCCAGAUUUUCUGGACGUAAUCAUGGCAAACCAGGAAAAUUCUACAGGGGAGAAGCUCACUAUUACCAACAUUAAAGCACUCCUCCUGGUAUGCAUAGUUAAAGCUCGUCUUUAAUUUUGUUUUCCGAUAUUUUCUUUCCGGAAACAGCACUUUUAUUGCUUUUAGAUAUGUAUGUUUUUAUCAGGUAGCCAUUUUAGGGGCACAUCACUGUUCUUUAUUUGGAUUUUUUUUCUCUUUUUCCACUUGCAUGAUUGUUUUCAUAUGCUCAGCUGCAUGGUACAGGAAAAUUGUGAAAAAUGAUUGGUUCUCUGAUCAGACCUUCUGCACCAAGACACACUUCUCUCUAUUUUAUAAAAUCAAGAACAUUUAUGGUUUACAUGAUUUUUCGAACUUGAACUUUUGCUAGGGCUAAUGCAUGGAUCUCAAUUUUCAAUUGCUUUUGAUUACAUAAAUUUCAAGUAUGUCACCAUAUUUUUGUUUCCUUGGCUAGAAUUUAUUUACUGCAGGAACAGACACUUCAUCAAGCGUAAUCGAGUGGUCUCUGGCUGAGAUGUUGAAAAACCCGAGCAUCCUCAAGCGUGCUCACGAAGAAAUGGAUAAAGUGAUUGGAAGGAGCCGGCGGCUCGUGGAGUCUGACUUGCCAAAACUUCCAUACCUACAAGCCAUAUGCAAGGAAAGCUUCCGGAAGCACCCAUCCACCCCAUUGAACCUUCCUCGUGUCUCAACCCAAGCAUGUGAAGUGAACGGCUACUACAUCCCAGAGAACACUAGACUUAGCGUGAACAUAUGGGCAAUUGGGCGAGACCCUGAUGUCUGGGAAAGCCCGGAAGAAUUCAGGCCAGAAAGGUUUUUAAGUGGAAGAAAUGAAAAAAUUGAUCCUCGUGGAAAUGAUUUUGAGUUGAUCCCGUUUGGGGCUGGACGAAGGAUUUGCGCUGGCACUAGAAUGGGAAUAGUGCUGGUUGAGUACAUUUUAGGGACGUUGGUACAUUCAUUUGACUGGAAAAUGCCGGAUGGAGUUGAGAUCAACAUGGACGAAGCUUUCGGGCUUGCGCUGCAGAAGGCAGUUUCUCUUUCGGCCAUGGUGACACCAAGGCUUCACCAGAGUGCGUAUGCAGUCUGAGCUCAAACCGCUCAGACCAAAACCCAGGCCUCGCUGCUAUAUGGCAUGGAUGCAGUUAAGUAGAAGAUAUUUUGGGAUGUUGUUUUAGUUUCCUGUGGCUUAGUAUAAGAUGUAUUAGCUCAAAGAUGGUCGUUUCAUUCUACCACCAAGCCAUAUGCAUCUAUGCAUAAUCUAUUGAUUUAGGCUCGAUUUGGUUAUAGUUUUUGUUUUUUUGUCUUCCAAAUCAGUAAAUAGUAGGGGUAUUUUUGUCCUAUGUAGUGAUUCUUUUUGUUUGAUUGAUUAUAUUUGGAUCCUUCAAAAAUAUAUGGUCAGAGCCAUCUCCAUCUUUUCACUUCUUGUGCUGCAGAAUGGGAUUGGCUUAGAUCGUUAGUCUAAUGUUAACCCCCUUCAAAUCUAAUUAUUCAUACCCAAUUUUGACACGAAAGAGCCAUUGUCAUGAAAGGGGGACCAGGGACCUCAGCACCCUUGGUCCAUCAUUUUGGUACGAUGCCAACUCUACCACAUAACCACCAUUUAGAUAUCUAUCCUUUUAUUUUUGGCAUGUGAACUUAUAGUGGGUGGCUGACCUUGAAUCCAAUAGUUAUCAUGAUAUAUAUGGCUGAAAUUAAAUCCAAUAGAAUCCAAUAUGUUUUCUUAUAUCUCAAGUUUCAAUCAAAAAAAUAUUUAUGAUUUGUUUUUAUUAAUUUGUGUCUUGUUUUCAAUUUAAUUAAUGAAAAUUUAUUUGAUCAAAAAGUUCAUUACAAACCAAUUUUAAAAAUCUAAUCCUUUAUUAUAUUUUGAUAUCGUUUUGAUAAAAAUGUCUUUAUUAUUAUUAUUAUUAUUAUUUUUUUAUAAAAAUAAAUUUUUUUAUAAAUAUAUUGUAAAUAUUUAAAAUAAUUAAAAAUAUUUAGAUCAAAAAUCGAUUAUUUUUCAAACAAAAAUAUGAAAGUUAUAAAUUUUGUAAAUAUGGGGAAUAUUUAAUCCUUUUAAUCGAUUAUUUCAUUAAUGAAGUGGGUAUAAUGGUGAACGCAGACUUGGUUUUGCUAGGGCAUGCAGAGGUUUUGCAAGAGAGAGAGAUCAUUUCUCGACUCUGAGAAAUCAAUCUCCUUUUGGCCCGGUGGCGGACUCCAAGUAAAGCCUUGAAGGAGCCUUGCUAACAUCCCUGCACACCCACGCCUUCCAGUACUGAAGGAAAUGAAGCGAAGGUUUGGCUCGUUCAACUCUACUGCUUGAACUGUACUAGCAUUCAGAUGCCGCUCUGGAUUGAAAUUUAGCGGUUCUUCCCAGAUUCUAGGGUUCCGGCCCAGCCCCAGACGGCUCAGAAGGACAUGACUGCCUUUGGGGAUAGAGUACCCAGCAACACUAGUCGGAUUCCUGAACUCGUCUAUCCUUUCCAACCACUCCAUCAAUUUCUUCACUGCUUUGCUCAAAAUCCCUGGUUGCUUGAUCAUUGCCUACUCAAUUGCAUUUGAUGGACUAUCGACGCCUGCAAGCAUCAACUCCUGCAAAUUAUGGAAGGAUCAUAAUCUGAUGAUUGAUCAAGUUAUUUGCUGGCUAGGAAAUCAUCAUCAUGCAAUGUAGAUCAAAAGGUAAGCACAACACUACUACAAAAAUAAUUUAUGGUGUCAUUUUUUAAAUAAUGACACCAUAGGGUUUAUAAUUAAUAAAGGUGAUACAUCAUAUGAAAAUUCUUCAAUUAAGGUAGUUAGAUUAUGUUAGUUUUAUAUUUAUAGUGUCAUUUUUUGGGAAGUAACAUCAUAUAAAAUAAAUUUUUUUUUAAGUAUUAUAACUUAAUGAGCCCACUUUUAUAAUUAAUAAUGAGGGAUAAUGUAUAAAAAGCCCAUUGUUUCCACAUGCCACCCAUAAUCCAAAAAAUCUCAGUAUACAAAUCUUAUAUAUAAAACCAUAAUCUUCUUCUACCUUUUCUUUUACUUAUAGUCAACACACUUAUAACCGACAUUUUCCACUUUGUGGACUCCCAAGUUAUCCAAAUUCUCUUAGAUCUAUCAUAUUUUUUUCUUUUAUUAAUAUCAUUAUAUUGAUUGUUUCAGCAUCUUUGUAUUAUGGUUUUUGUGAACUGUGUUUUUUUGAGUUGUAGGGAAGAAAAACUUAGGUUUAAACUUCUAGCAUAGACGAAGAAACUUGUAGAUUAAUUGAUUUUUUAAUAUGAACCAAACACAUGACCAACUUUUGUUGUGUGUAUUUAUGUGAGAAUGAUAGGUACAAAAUUUUGUUGAGAUAUACUGUCCCAUAAUCUUCAUCCCUUCCCUAAAAUGAGAGAGGGGAAAAAAAAAGGGAUGAUUUUUUUUGUGUAUCUAAGUGGGAACGAGAGAUAUAGAAUUUCGUUGUGAUGUAGUGCUGCCACAUGAUCUUUAUCCUCCAUUAAACCUAACAUAUUAAAUCCACUAACUCUCUCCCCAAAAACGAGUAAAAAAAAAAAAGGAAAAAAGUAUGAGUUAAAAAACAAAAACGGAAAAUAUGAUUUUUUUUUAAUGUGUUUCUAAGGAGAAUGAGAGAUACAUAUUUUUGUUAAGUGCAUUGCCACGUGUUCUUCAUCCUCUCCAUUAAGCCUAAUAUAUUAAACCUAAUAGCUCUCUCUUUUAAGCUUUCCAAUGAAGUGCCUACAGUAUCCAACUCAAAAUAAGACAACUUAUGCCCCAUUAGCCAACAACCCAUAUUUUGUGUACAUCUUGAUGAGAUUAUUUUGUGAGAAAAUGUCAUGAAACAAUCCCAAUUUGAUAAUCUAGGCAUGUAUUUGAGUUAAAAAUAAAUUUCUAUUCUAUAGAUCAAAGAAUAAAAUCAUGUUUGAAAAUUAUUUUUAAAAACUUAUUUAGAGCAAAAAUAGUUUUCUAACAUAAAAAUAAUUUUUUAACUGAGAAAAUAUAUUUGAAAUUAUUUGAUAGAAAAUUGGGCAUGUAUUUGACUUAAAAACAAAUUUCUAUUCUAUAGCUCAAAUAAUAAAAUCAUGUUUGAAAAUUAUUCUUAAAAACUUAUUUAGAGCAAAAAUGGUUUUCUAACAUUAAAAUAAUUUUUUAAUUUAGAAAAUAUAUUUGGAAACAUUUGAUAGAAAACUGGGCAUGUACUUGACUUAAAAAUAAAUUAUUAUUCUAUAGAUCAAAGGAUAAAAUCAUGUUUGAAAAAUAUUCUUAAAAACUUAUUUAGAGUAAAAACAGUUUUCUAACAUAAAAAUAAAUUUUUAACUUAGAAAAUAUAUUUGAAAACAUUUGAUAGAAAACUUUUUUUUUUUUAAUGUCAAUAAGUUGUCUUUUUCUUAAUUUAAUUGUAAUCAAUUUGCUUAUACGCAUUUAAAAGUAUAUAUUAUCAUAUUUAGUAAUAUUUUGAUUGUUAGGCAAAUUAUCAUUUUUGAGAGGAAUUUUUGUAGCUCUCAUAAUUAUAAUUGUAUUUUAAUAACCAUUUCCAAUAAAAAAAAAAGAAAAAAAAAGUUAGACAAUUAUCAAAAUCUGAUUUUUAGGAUUUUAAAAAAAUCUACAAGCCAAAACUAUCUAUAAUUUUGAUCAUGUGAGAACACUUCUUUUUUAAUACUUUGAGUUAUUUUGUUUUUUUUCUUAGUAUCUGAAAGUAUAAAAGAAUUUCUCUCAUUAUAUUAUAUAUAUGUGCAUGUGUGUUCUCAUGGUUGUUUAUGUCAUGUCUUAUUAAAGAAUAAAGUGAAAUUUCCUUUGAGUGGAAGGUUUUAGUCCACGCUAGUACACGGUAUGAAUAGUUUGGGUGGGUUGUAUCUAUGGUAAAAAAUAAUAAAAGACACCUUUUGCAAGUCUCCAAGUUGGUUGAGAUACAUGGCAUCAUGUUGACUAAACCUUGACUUUUGCAAGUCUCCUAGUUUCCAACUUUUUUUUCUUCUUUUUUUUAAUAUUAAGGUGUGGGGCCAUGAACUCCUUUCUUUCCUUUUUAAAUAACAAAAAGGAAGAUAAUUUUAUUGUGAGAAGGCUAUUGCUAUCAAUUGUGUUCACGUCGAGAAUUUUUUAAUUUAUGGAGGCCAUAUAUAUAUAUUUAUGUCUAAUUUAGGAGGGUAAUUUGGGUUUGUUUAAUCUAUUCCAUUUAAUCAUACUAUACAAUCAUUUUUUUAUUUGGAUUAUUUUUGUAUUAAAUUUCUUCAACCCAAAUUUUGUUGAAAAGUUACAAUGUAUUAUUAAAAAUAUAACUUGAUAGUUGAUUAUGGAUAUGUGUCAUUUUUAGUAAAAAAAAAAAAUCUAUAACAUUUUAUAUUGAUAAUAUAUUAUUCUUGUAACAGGUUCGAAUAGUAAGCAAGUCAUUAUCAAAGAAGUUAUUGAAAGUGUAAGUGUACGUUUAUUUAUUGCAUGCUCUUAUAUUGUAUCAAUUGUAAGGAAGAUAAAAUUACCUUGUAAAGGUAAUUAAAUCUUUCUAUAUUUUAAAAACUUUUUUCCUAUAUACUAUGCUUUUGAAGCUUGUUUAAUUAAACAUAUUAGUUAUUUGACAAACUUUUCACAAAUGUUUUGUAUACUUAUGUGUUCUAUUUUGUUCCAUAGUUUUAUUGCAUAAUACUAAUGUAUAUUUUUUCACAAACUUUUUACAACUAUUUUGUGUACUAAUGCAUAUUAAGUUUUGUUCUUGCCUAUAUAAGCUACAUUUAGUUAUUUAAAUAUAUCCAAUAUUAUGUUGAAGAAAGAUGUACUUACUUAACUUUUUUUAUUCUUAAUAUUAGCAAGUUUUUCAGUUCUCUUGUCUCGAGAUUGGAUGUCAAAAGAUAGAAGGUCAGUUGAGUAUGAUGAAAGAGUUGAAAACUUUAUCAAUUUUGCAUUAGCACAUUCAAUCAACCAUUCCCCUAUAAAAUGCCCAUGCUUACGUUGUGCAAAUCUUUUAUGUCAAACUCUUCAAGUCAUUAGAGAGCAUUUGUUCUUUAAUGGAAUAGAUUUCAGUUAUCGAGUAUGGUAUAGGCAUGGAGAAAAUGGACCCAGUGGAGGAUUUUCAAAUGUCUCACAACAACAUUAUGACAAAUGCAAGUAUAAUGAUGUUGUUGACACAAUAAUGCUGCACUAGUUAAUUGUAUGAAUGAUCCCUAAGUGUUUGGAAGGUUACUUGAAGACGCAGAAAAACCUUUAUAUCUUGGAUGCAUGAAAUACACAAAAUUGUCAGCAUUGGUAAAACUUUACGACUUAAAAGCACGUUAUGGUUGGUCUGACAAAGGAUUCUCAAAAUUGCUUCAGUUGCUUGAAGAUAUGUUGCCAUUGAAUAAUGAGAUGUCAUUGCCCAUGUAUGAAGCUAAAAAGACUUUCAGUGCACUUGGUAUGGAAUAUCAAAAAAUUCAUGCAUGUUUUAAUGACUGUAUUUGGUAUAGAAACCAGUAUAAGGAUGCUAUUGCAUGCCUAACUUGUGGAAAGUCAAAGUGGAAGAUAAACAAUGAGGGGAAAAAGAUUAAGAAGGGGCUUCCUUCAAAGGUUUGGUGGUAUUUCCCACCAAUCCCUAGAUUCAAAAGGACGUUCCAAUCCUCAAAAACCGCUAAACAUCUUAUGUGGCAUGCCAAGGAUAAAGAAUAUGACGAUAAACUAUGCCACCCAUCAGACUCCUCAGCGUGGAAACUAGUUGACCAUAUGUGGCUUGAUUUUGCUUCUGAACCGAGAACCUUAGACUAGCACUCUCAAAAGAUGGUACAAAUCUUCAUAAGUCUAUAAGCAAUAGACAUAGUUGUUGGCCUGUUAUACUGAUCAUAUACAACCUUCCUCCUUGGUUGUGCAUGAAAAAGAAGUUUAUGAUGCUAUCAUUAUUGAUCUUAGGACCACGACAACCUGGUGAAAAUAUAGAUGUUUUCUUGAGUCCAUUGGUAGAUGACCUUAAAACUUUGUGGGAAAAAAAAGUUGAGACUUAUGAUGCACACUUACUUGAGGUUUUUACUGUAAAGGUCAUCAUUUUAUGGACAAUCAAUUAUUUCCCUACAUAUGGAAACUUGGCCAAUUGCACCGUGAAAGGAUAUUAUGCAUGUCCAAUAUGUGGAGAAGGAAUAUAUUCCCAAAGAUUAAAGUAUGGUAGGAAGAACUUGUAUAUGGGUCAUCGACGAUUUCUUCCACGUAACCAUCCCUAUUGGAGACAAAAGAAGGCAUUCAAUGGUGAACAAGAUUUUAGAAUUCCUCCUAAAAUUUUGAGUGGAGAAGAAAUACUUGAAAAAGUUGAUAUCAUUCCUAUUUCUUGGGGAAAAAGGAAGAUAAAAUCUCUUGAACUGAUGUGAACACAAAUUGUUGGAAAAAAAAGUCCAUAUUUUUUGAGUUAGAAUAUUGGAAAUAUCUUCAUAUCCUUCACAACUUGGAUGUUAUGCACAUCGAAAAGAAUGUAUGUGAGAGUAUUAUUGGUACUUUGUUUAACAUCCUAGGAAAAAAAAAGAUGGACUUAAUGCUCAACUUGACCUAGUUGAAAUGGGUUUAAGGUCUGAACUUUUCCCAAGAGUUGACUUGAAGCGGACCUAUCUCCCCCCUGCAUGUUAUUCACUAUCCAAACAUAUAUGACAAAAAAUUAGUUUGUCAAACAUUGUCUAAUUUGAAGGUCCUUGAGGGGUAUUGCUCAAAUUUUAGAAAUCUUGUUUCCUUAGAGGAAUUGAAGUUAUUUGGUUUAAGAUCCCAUGACUACCAUGCACUUAUGCAACAACUAUUGCUAGUGGCAUUACGUUUUGUUUUGCUAAAGCAUGUGAGAUAUACUAUAUCAAGAUUGUGUAUCUUCUUCAAUCAAUUAUGCACAAAAAUGGUUGAUGUGCCAAAAUUGGAUGAAGUACACAAUGAGUUAGUGGUCACGCUGUGCUUACUUGAAAAGUAUUUUUCACCUUCAUUUUUUGAUAUUAUGCUUCAUCUAGCAGUGCAUUUGAUAAGGGAGGUGUGACUAUGUGGUUCAGUUUACUUUAUGUGGAUCUACCCAUUUGGGAUAUGAAAGUUCUUAAAGAAUUGUUCGCAAUCAUAAUUGGCCUGAAGGAUGCAUUACUAAGUGCUAUUUAGCAGAAAAAGCUAUCGAAUUUUGUAUUGAAUAUUUAUUAAGGACUCAUGCAAUUGGAAUUCCAAAAGUAACAAUUAUGACAACAAAUUUGGUAGACCUAUAAUUGGUGGUCGUUCUACCAUCAUUGAUCAUAAAUCAUGGUUACAAGCAUAUCAUUAUCUAUUAGAGAAUACAACUAUCGUCCAACCAUACACUGAGUAAGAAAAACAUACCUUUAUCUUUUUAUAAUUUCAUAACAUAAUGAUGAAAUCCUAAGUUUGCAUUCCUUGUCUUUAACGUCAUAGGGAACACAUGAAUUAGUUGAGGUCUCAAUACCCUCGACAAUCUAAUAGACAAAUUUGGUUGCAAGAAGAACAUAUGAGUUGUUUUACAUAUUGGCUUAAAGAAAAGGUAAUCUCUUAGUUUUUAGAAAAUUUUUCAAUAUGUUGAAAACAUCACAAGUUUCCAAUAUGUUUUGAUUAUACAUAGGUUGAAGAGGCUAUCCAUAAUGGGCAAGAUAUUCCCGACACACUUAGGUGGUUAGCACAUGGCCCUACUCUCCAGGUAGUCAAAUAUCCUGGAUAUAUCGUUAAUGAGUGUCAUUACCAUAUUAAGAAACGCGAUAUGACAUGCAUAACCCAAAAUAGUGGUGUUAGCAUUUUAGCAAGGACUAUGCAAAUUGCCAGUUCUAAGGAUAAGAACCUAGUUUGUGGUGAACUUUGCUUUUAUGGGGUCAUUAAUGAGAUAUGGAAUCUUGAUUACAACAUGUUCACAAUUCUAAUUUUCAAGUGUGAUUAGGUUGACAACAAGAAUGGUAUAAAAGUUGAUAAACUCAGGUUCACAUUAGUUGACUUCUCCAAAAUAGGUCACAAAUUGGAUCCAUUUAUUUUAGCAUCACAAGCCAAGCAAAUCUUCUAUGUUGAAGAUCAACUUGAUCCUAAAUGGUCAAUAGUUCUCUCAAUUCCUCUAAAAGAUUUCAAGAACAUAGAAGGACUAGAUGACUUCACCGAUAAUUGCAUGGAACAUCACCCCUUUAUAAGUUCAAUGCCAGAAUUUGAAUCAUUUGAUGCUAUGGAUGAAUCAUAGGCAAUACACAUGAGAGAAAACUGUGAGGGCAUAUGGAUUGAAAAUAAUUAGAUAACAUAUUGUACCCUUGAAUGAGAUAUAAUAAGGCAUUUCACUUAUUAGUUUUCAUGAGUUGCACAUUAACUUAGCUUCUAUAUAUUGCUCAUGAUAUAUCUAUAUAUUUUAAUCAUCCUAAAUUUCUUUCAUGCAUCAUAAACAUAUGUUAUUCAAAGGUACCACUUCAAUCUUCAUUCAACUAUCGUUUUGUUGUCCAUAGAACUAGAUUUAUAUUAUUUUUUAUUAUCAUGUUUUGAUUUUAUGCUCACAUAACUUGAAAUUCUCAUUCCUAAAUUUCUUUUUCAUUAAAACUAUAAAUCAUAAUUGAAACUAUGCACUAAUUUAUUUUAUUAUUAUCCUCACAAAUAAAUUCUUCAUUAUUGAUAAGAAAUCAAAAAACAAGACAAAUUUUGAAAGAAAAUUUCAAAAAAUAUAUUUGUGAAUGACCAAUUUAAUUAUAGAAAAUAUAUGCAAGGCUAUACUAAUCUUGCUUUUGAGUCAUUUUAUAGGUUUGUUGGUGAAGUACUAGUUUGCACAUUUACUUGAUAUCUUCCGCACAAAUAUGGAUCUAGAAGAAGGGGAAAUGCUAAAAAUAAAGCAUAAAGGUAGUGCAUUGAAACCAAAGAUUGCAAAAAAUCGAAGUAAAGGGAUAAAGCUCAAGAUUGAAUACAAUAGCCUUAGUAGUCACAUUGAGGAAAAUUCAGUUGAACUAAGUAGUUAUCUUAGUACAAUAACUAGAACCCAUGUGCCAAUAAUUAUUGAGAGUUGGGGGAAAGUGCCUAAAGAGACUAAGGAGAAGUUGUGGGAUUUGAUCACGGUAAGCCUAUCUAUAACUUUAAUAUAUAAUUAUUGUAUACAUUCAUUAACAUGAGCUAACAUGGGUUGCUAUUUUGUAGACAAGCUUUAAUGUGAAUAAAAAAUCCAAGAGGAAUUGUUUCAUACUAAUGGGCAUCAGGUUUCGAACCUUUAAGUACAAGUUGACAAAGAAAUAUAUAUUGUCUUUCAAGAAUGACUAAAAAAGCUGAAAAAGUCACCUCCUAUUUACCCAUUCAUACAAGAGGAUCAUUGAAGACAGUUUGUUAAAGAUAGACUUUUAGAACAUUUUAAUGUUAAGCAUUAUUUUUAUUACAUCUUCAAUUUUCACAUUUACGUAGUUUCAUUAUGUACUAAUUUUGUGUCUAUAUUUUGUAGGAAUAUCGCAAAGUUCAGAAAUCAAGAAGAGAUAAACACAUUUACAAUCAUUAUCUUGGAAGAAAAUGAUAUGCACGUUUUGAGCAUGAUAUAGUAAGUUAUCAAUAUCCAUAAAAAAAAAAAUGGAGUAUAUAUUUUGUUUAUAGGAAAAUGAUUCUAGUUUUUAAAUAUCAUUUAUUAACUUGAUCAUAUUGAACUAAUGAGUUUUAUUGUUAAAAAUUUUAUAGCUACAAGCAGAAGGGGCUAUUGGUAGGGUUGAUAGAAGUGUUUAUGAAAGAAAACACGUGAGAAGAAAGGAAAGUUUAAUAAGAUUACAAAGCCAAUGAUUAACUAAGUUAGCAUAUUUAUGCCUUUUAGAGCCUAUAGUGUUAGUAUGUCUAUGUGAUUAGGGUUUGUGAUGAUAUCGUUAGGUGUUAAUAGGGAAGAGGCUUAAUGCUAUCAUUUUUAUGAGUAGUCAUGUUAUAUUAGUGCAAAUAUAGUAGCCUAAUUUGAAAAUUAAUUUUGAAACAAUAUACAUUAAUUUAUCUAUUAUCAUUUUUAUUAAAACAAUUCAUUUUAUAGCUACCUUGAAUUGGUUGUCUUUGAUUGAUAUGUUAAUCAUCUUCAUCAAAUUAUUACUAAUAUAUGUUUUGUUAUAGGAUGAAUUACUAGAAAAGGCAAGGAGACUGGACUACCUCCACCUGGUCCAAACGACAUAUUAUGUCAGGCAUUGGGUAAGCUUGAUCAUCUAGGACGUGUGGUAGGUCAAGACCGCUUGGUUAGGCCGAACUCAUACUUUCGUCAACCAUUUGAUGACAUGAAAAAAAAAAUCAAAGAAGAAAUAUGGGAAGUGGUGUGAAAGGGGAUGCAAGAUGCUGUAACAAGACAAACUAUGUCUCCUCCCACACCCCAUUCUGAUAUAGGUAGUAAUAACAUGAGACAACAACUUGUUUUACAACUAGUUGUAGCAAAAAAAACCAAUGUUUAAAAUGAUGGAAGAGCCCCAACCACCAGAACCACCACUGAAACGUAAGGUAUACAUUUAUUUACUAAUAAUACAAGAUUAAUAUAAGUGAUAUAUAGCCUAUGUAAAUGAUAUUAUUUGUUGUAUUAAAGGUGAUUAAAUAUAAAUUAGCAGUGGAAUGAAAAUGAAAUGUUGUUGCAACCGGUACAUUAAUAGAAGAAAAUUGAUCAAAUGGGUUGGUCAUAAUAAAUGUUGCACACAAGCUAGAUGCUAGACUCCCAUUUCCAAAUCCAUAUGAGAUUAUCAAUGUUGGGGAUGCUAUUGACUUUAAGCUUGACUGGCCAACAAACCUUGUCAUACUUGAAACUAAACAUCCUCGGGUAUGUCAUUUUAUACUUGUAGUAAAUUUGAUUGUAACUUGGUAUUUUAUUGUUUGGGAGUAUAUAUUACUAACAUUCCUUCAUUUUUCAUAGGUGUUGGAUAAAGGAAAGAAGUAGAUAGUGAAUGCACCAAUUAUUCGAAAAUCUAAGCCUCAAAAUUAUUCGGUCAUUAAAAAUUUUUAGAAAUUUAUGGGUGGUUGUCUUAGUAAUGAGAAGACAUACCCAAUACAGCUCCCCAUUUCACUAUUUGGUGUCGAAUUCCAAACAUAUAUAUCUAGAGAGGAUUGUGAAUACAUUAUUUCAUCUUUAGAGGUGUCAUCAAAAUGCAUCUCCUUCCAUUUAUGGUGUGCACCUUUUAUUUUCAUUUGUUUUUAUUUUUUUAAUAUGAGUUGCCCAUGUUGAACAAGAUUGGAUAGGACUAAUGAUAAUUUUCUUUUGGUGUUUUGAUAAUAUAAUAGGUACAUGCAUGAUCAACUACAUAUUGCCAAAAAGGAAUCACAAUUUAUAUUUGUUAAUCCUUUUACAAUAUCAUGAGCACGCUUUAGUAAUCCUCAAACAGAGAAAAGAACACAAUUGUUGUCAAAACACUUAAUAGAGUGCCAAGAUGUCGGAUAUGUUUUCAUGCCCUACAACCCCGAGUAACUGACGAAUAUUAUGCUUUAAUUUGAGGUUUUAUGAUUGAUUUAUAUUUCUAAUUAGAUGCUACUUUUGUUUUUAAUGUUUUAGCUUUCAUUGGGUCUUGGUAGUGAUUGAGCCAAGGAAAACGAUAGUCCACUAUCUUGACCCUGUGCAUCACAAACCAUUUGAGGACUUAAAGGAUAUCGUAAACAUGUAAGUUCUUCCUAUUAUUUUUCAUAGUAUUAUUUAAAAAAAAAAUUACAUUCACCUCAAACACAUUUUUUAUUGUUAUUUCUAUAUAUUAAAACAUAUAACAUUUACCUAUUUUAAAAUUGUACCCAUUGAACUUAUUUACAUAGGGCUCUUUAAAUAUUUGCAAAGAAAACAUCUAAAAGAGAGCCAUCUUGGAAACUAGUGCAAGUGACAUCCAAAAUUUUUCUUUACACAUUUAGCUUAUGCAUUUGCACCAUUUAUAUGUAUGAGUACUAAUGUUAUUUAUAACUGAUCACUUAGUGUCCAAGACAAGAAGGAGGGUUCGAAUGUGGCUACUUUGUUAUGAAAUUCAUUAAAGAGAUAAUUUUUUAUCCUACAAUGAUUGCUUCAAAGGUAUUACUUAUUUAAUGAAUUGUACAUAUUUUUAGGCUUCCAAAUGUUAUGCAUUUUAAUGUUAUUUUGUUAUUUGAUUUCAGUUUGGUGAUAAAAAAAACAUAUUCUCAAGUAGAAUUCAAUGAAAUUAGAGGGGAAUUGACUACUUUUGUGCUACAACUAAUCAUGAAUCAUGUUGAUGCAUCAUGAUCACCAUGCAUGGUGAGUCCCUUAGCUACUACAUGAAUUUUUCCAUAGAUAUUGUAUAGUAUUGCUUUUCUUUGAACAAUGUUUUUAUUUGAAAAAAGAAAAAAAAAGUUCUUAGAUUUGUUCAUUUAUGAUAACAUCGAUCCAUAUUUAUUUUCUUCAAUGAAAUCUAUAAAACUCAUUAAACUAUGAAAUGCAGGUAUACACUCUUAGGAGGGUGGAAUAGAGAAUAAAAAGAACAAAGAAGGCAACCAGAUUUUGGGUUUUUAAAUGCAGCUCGUAUGUCAUACGUCGUAGGACAUAAACGUUACUUUAAUUGGUAGUGAGAAUUUUAGAUUUUUAGAUGCUACUUUUAUGUCAUUUUAUAGUUAGUCGGUUUUAUGCUUAUGAAAUGAAGGUAUACAUGAAUCUUGGGAUGCUUAACAUUUCUAAAUCAUGUUUUGGUAUGUAUUCACUUUUCUUUUUCAGUUUUGGUGGGUUUGAUAUGUUUGAUGUACUAUCUUUUUGUGAACAUUUGAUAUACAAAUAUUAUUAGAUGAUCAAUGUAUUACGAGUUAUUCCAUAAACAUUACCGAAAAAUGAGUUAAAUGUAAUAUGAUUGUUAUAUUUAUGGACAAAAUAUACACAAGUUAAUCCUAUUUGUUAAUUCAUAAGCAUUACAAAAAUCUACAACUAAAAGAAAUCAUAUCUUCCAUGAUAAUUUACAAUGAUGUGACACCAUAACUCAAAGGUGAUGCAUUUAAUGUGACAUCAUAACUCAAAGAUCACGCAUAUAAUGCGACAUCCUAUCAUCACUAGAAAUAUAUGAUGUCACUUCCGAAUGCGUCACCAUUUAUCUACUUUGGUGUCACUUACAAAUACGUCACCAAUUGGUACCCUCUAUGGUGUCAGUAGAGAAGGUGACACUAUGUUGUAGUGACACCCUAUGUUUAUGGUGACUCGCUAUAAAUGUCACCAUAUAUCUUUUUUCUUGUAGUGCAAAUUACUUAUCUUACUAUGCAUUGGGCUUUGAUAUUAGCCAGAGAUAGUAGUGGCUCCUAAUUUUUAUCCUUAACUGAAAUGAAAACGCCAAGCAGGUCCCCACCCUCUUUUUCACCAUUCUUCCACUAUUCUACUAUUUGGUCCAUGAUUGGAUCAUGGUACUUGUUAAUGGUGUUCAUAGCCUCCCUUAUAGUCUUUUCAUGGCCAUCUAAAUUCAGCACUCUCUGCCAUGGGAAGUAAUCAGAUAAAGAGAAUACAUAUAGAUGAGCAAGUAUAGUAAAGAAGGAUUCAACAUGUUGCUCCACUUCAACUCCAAGGCCUCCAUCUUUCUUUCGUUGGCCAAAGUAUCUUGUGUUGAGGAUCAUCUUUCGGAUGACAUUCCCGUUGUAUUGACGGACUUUAUUUCUGUCACACCCCAAAUACUAGGCAACCCAGAACUUGACUCGUGGCCCCAGGUCAAAGGUUUGACCCUAAGAGUUACUCUUAUCCAUGUUGGCAAUCAAUCAAAACACCCUGGAUUUUUUUUCUUUUCAAUAAAGAGUUUAAUCCUAAAUAAAUUUAUUAAGCUAAGAUUUACUAUAACAUAUCAUUUUAUUUUUCCAAAACUAACCAUCACAUUAUCUCCUGUUCACAAGUAUUAAAAAAAAUAAAAUUCCACCAAUCGUCUUCCUACCCAAAAGCUAAAAUAUUUACAAUAAUCUCUAAGUCAAAAAGAAUAUUUCCAAAAAUGUUUUCCAAACUAAUAAAAUAUAAUUUAACUUAAAAAAUUCCAUAUAACUCAAAUUAGUAGAUGUCAAAAAGGUAAUUAAAAAAAAAACAACAACCAUUAUUAUGGUUUUUUUGCUUUUUAGAACACUUCAUGAUCUUCUUAUGGUCCCUUAGAAACUAUAUCUGCAUCUAAAAAUUUUAGAAAAUAAAGGGAUGCACAUUUCCACGUUACUCUUUAGACCUAAAUAGGUUAGAAAUUCUAGGUCAAUAAAACACAACCAUAUGCCAAAAUAUAAUAUUACAUUUACAUUAUACACACUAAAAGAAACUUCAACCAUACAAAUUUAAAUCAAUCAAAAUUAUCAUUUUCCUUAUUUAAUCAUAUGUUUAGCAUAUCAAUAAUUUUAAAUUACAAAAUAAAUAAGUCACUUUAGUCUUGAAUAAUAUAUUCAAACAUACACUUGAUAAAUAAUACAAAUCAUUUUUCCAAAUGCAACCAUGAUACAAAUGCUUACACACAAUCACGCAAUGCAAUAUCGUUCUCGGGCUUUCACCGAAGGAUAUGCAUUUAUACCCAAAUACACUCCCCAUUCGGAGUCUUCCUGGGGUAAAAUUUUGAGUCUUUCACCUUAAGGAUCUCACUCCCUUCUUAACUCACCAUCUCUAGGGUCAUUCAAUUUCUUAUUUUUCUUUUCUUUUCAUUUUUGGUGUCUUUUCAUUCUCAUUUCCGUUUCACACAACCAUUUCUUUAAUUUUUCUUUUUCUUCACACAAUCAGGAUGCAUAUGAAAUGCAACUGAAUCAUAUUUUAACAUCCAUAAUUUUCCAAGACAUAAUUUUAUUUACUCCCAUUAUGUUUCAUAAUUUCCAAUAAUCCACACAACGAUUUUUCUUCACUUUAAUCGUCACAAACAUAAAAGAAAAUUCACAAUUAAUUUGUAUAGCAUCAAAACAUAGUUUUAAACAUUGACCACAUAAAUUCUAUUUAUUCCUGACAUGCUUAAUAAUUUCCAAAUCCAAUAUAACCAUUUUUUUUUCAAUUAAAUAAUCACACAUAUCCAAGAAAAUUCUCGCUAAUACAAAUAUCAAUGAAAAUGUAAUUUAUGUCAUAAUUUAUUUGUCUCCAAUAAUUUCAAAAAUUUUGACACCCAUAUGACAAAUUUCUACAAUUAAGCCACCCCAACAUUUGGGAAAAAUUUUCCAAUAAUUCAAAUAUCAACAAAAACCCAAUUUAUAUCAUCAUUUUAUUUAUUUUUAAAAGCAUUAAUAAUUUUAAUAAUCAAUACAACACUUUUCCACAAUUAAGCCACCACAACAUUCUAGGAAAAUUUUCCAAUAAUUCAAAUAUUAACAAAACAUAAUUAUACCUUAAAUUUUCUUAUCUCCAACAACAUCAAUAAUUCUUAGUACUCAAUACAACUAUUUUUAUUUUUUCAUAUUUAAUCUUCUCAAACAUUACCAAAAUUCCAAGAAAAAUCUAUAAAUCACGAAAUAAAAUUAUUCACAAUAAUAAUCACACUUCAAAUACUAAAAAUAACAUCUAUUAUAUUUCAACAACACAAUAUAUAAAUUUUUUUCAAAGAAAAUAUUAAAUCAAAGUUUUAGGGUUAAAUCACCCUACCUUAAAUUUGAAAAAUUUAACCAUUAAAACUAAAACAGGACACCGUAGGAGUGUUCCUCACAUUGAAUAGAAUAUCUGUAGACCCUCAAUUUUGUCCCUUUAGCACAUGUCUUUAAGUUCGUUUUCAGUGUUCCACAGUAGUUCCUUGGUGGCCCAUUGCUACUCAUACUACUUACCCUUUUUUGAGUCACCUCGGAGACUUUGGUUGAGGGAUUAUCUUACCCCUUAUUGUGACCCUUGGCAGCCCUAACUUAGACUUAGGCUUUUCUUGCUUUUUUUUUUUCGGGAUAGCUUUUAGAUACACUUGACCCAUUAGGCACCACCCUAGGCCCACUUAGAUUCACCUAGGCUCAUUCAGGCACAUCUAGGCCCAUUUAGGUUCACUAGAUCCACUUAGGUAUCUUAGCCCUCCCAUGUCAUCGUUGCGGUAAUUCCUACAUGACUUACAUAAUUUGCAUUUUUUUAACACUUGUAUGUACUUGAUUUCCUAUUCAUUUAUUUAUCUACUUAUUUUAUUAACAUUUAGUUAGUUAUUUGUUUUAUUUAUUUAUUUUAUAGAAUAUUGCAUGAGAUUGAUGUCAUUAAUUGCGUAAACUGAUGUAUUAAUUUGUCUGUGUGUAGCUAUGAUAGAUAUAUUGUUUUUGAUUGCAUAUAUUUUUUUAUUAGUUUUAAUUCUCAAUUUCAUGACCUCUACUGCUUUUAAUUCUUAUUUUAUUUUGGCAUGAGAUUUGAAUGCACACAUUGGAGAAGAUCUUUGACGUACACGGCUGCGUAUAGAAAGUGGGCACAUCACGGCUGAGGCACAUCCAGGAGUAUAUGGAAAGAAGAUUAAAGAGAAUCUAAUUACUUACCAAAUGAGAGAGGGGCUGCAUCCUUGGAAAAUCUCCAAGUAAGCUGCACAUAUGUAGACUUCCCAUAUCCACGCGUAUAACAAAAAAAGGAAGUAAAAUAUUCUACAAGAGUGGGCUGCCAUAUAAAAAAAAGUGGGGAGAAAAAAAGGAUAGGAGGAUUUCGGAAGGAAGGAGGAAGAAGGAGUGACCGGGCAAAAGAGGAUUUUUAUCUGGGGAAUUGUCUUUAGAGGUGAGAGGAAAGCCGGAAGCCCAGCGAUUGCAGGCAAGGCUGCCCAAAAUUUAAAAUCCAUUGGGUUUGGAGGAGAGGCACAGAGGAGAGGGGACUUUCAGCACGCAUUGAGAACGGAGUGGAAUCAGAAAAGAGAAGCAAUCUUUGCUUCUUCAGAAAAGUUCUAAGGUAAGUCUACUGAUAUUUUGUUUUGGUUCGUACUCCCAAUUUAUGUUCCUCAUUCUUUUUUUGUGACCUGAGACGCUAUUUGCUGGUUGGGUUGGAGAUGACAUAAAUUCCAUGUGAAUCUUGCUGAUUUCUCAUAUAUUGUUACAGAUAUUGUUUCAUUCUUUACUAUUUAUUUAUUUAUUUAUUUUUAUCAUUUGAACUCAAUGAGACUCUGUUUUAUGGUGUACUAUUUCAAGAUUUUGGUUGCCCAGAUUCUCUUUACUCCUCCCACCAACCUAAUCUCGUGGAUCGAAAUAUGAAACACGACUUUCUCUAGAUCAUUCUGUUUUCAUCCUUUAUGCUCUCUUUUCUUGGUUGCCUUCUUUUGUUCUUGUGUGUAUUUUCAAGGGAGACGUGCAUCACCAAUUAAUUACGUUAGAGAGGAGCUUUCGAAUACUGCUGAAAUUUGAGACUUAGAACCCAAAUUCGGAAGCAACAAGUUGGAUUGAUGACUCUAAUGAGAAUUUUGUUUCAUGGGAAAAAUGACUUGAUAGUGAUUGAAUAUGGAUUGAUAGGGAAUGGAUACUUCAACACGUUCUACGGUGGAUUACAAGUUUGGUUCCCCUUUAGGGAAUGCAUGUCCAAGACAGGGGAGAGCAAAAUUUUGUGUUUAUGACAUCCCAGGAGCAGUCGGGAUGGCUAAGACCUUGUUGAUGGAUCUCAGUUGCUGUUCUAAAUAAUCCGAAUUCAAGCCUGUGGAAUUUAAGCAGUGUUAUUGAGAGUUUGAGACUAUGGAACAACUACAGCUGAUCCAGCUUAUUUUGCAUCAUUUUGCUCUAACGUCAACUUGAAUCCAAGGCUUCCUCCACCUCUUAUUUAACGGGAGAAUCAAUGCCUGUUCCCUAUCCACUGACAAAGAGGAGUCUGACGACGAUAGGCCAUCCCGAAAAAUCUCAGAUGAUUGACCAGAAAGCAGCAGUGCAGUUAUGCCCAGACAGAGGACAGUUUCUUCAGCAGAUCGUCAUAAAAGUUUAGUUGAUCUGAUACAAAAGGACUUCCCCCGCACCUCAUCACUUGCAUAUAAUCAGUUUCCUUCCUCAAGCUAUGCAGCAAUGGAGGAACUAUUUAAUCGCAUUACCUCUACCUAAAGAUCCCUCAAGGAAUGAGCCAUCCUUAUAAUGACAUGGAAAAGCUUCCCCAUGCACUCCCCAAGUUCUCUUCAGUUAAGGUACAAUCUAUGAUGCAGUCUCCUAGGUUCACCCCUCCUUUGUAUGCAACAGCAGCAACGUAUAUUGCUUCAAGAAGUCCAUUUUAUCCUAAUUUGCAGUCAGUGAUGGAUCCUCAUUCGCAACUGUUAAUCUAAUAUCAGAGGGGAAGCCUAUUAUCCUUAGUCAUGCAGGAAUUGAAGAUUGCAUUGGCCUUCCCCCAAAGCUGCAAUUCCCCCUUUUAUCACAGAACUUGAAUUUGGAUGGAAUUCCAAAAUUUGACUUUUUCUCUGUUUAUGCCUUUUAAAGGUCAUUCAGCACAUUGUUAUAUUUAAGCCCCUUUGAGUUGGAAGAUUUUGUGGAAGCAUUAAGAUGCAAUUUUUUUCUAACCCUUUGUUUGAUUAUGUCCAUAUUUCUUUAUUACAAACUUUGAGAAAGCAUUUGGAAUUUCUAUCAGAUGAAGGUUCCUAAUCUGAUUUUAAUUGUUCAAGGUGUCUUAAUUGAGGUUUGUUGGAUUCAGUUCGUGGUUAGUUUUCAUGGCUGAUUCCCUACUGAUUCAUGGUUCAGGUUCGAAACCUGGUUUUGAUUUUAGUUGAUUGAAGCUAUUUGACAAUAACCACUGCAAACGACCUGUGGCCGUAAAGUUUGAGAUAUUUCGAUGUCUGUGUGAUGAUGUGAUUGCAGUGGAAGCGCUAAGAUCAGAGCUCAAUAGAAGAUCAUUGGCAGCUGAGCCUGAUAAGGAAUUCAAUCAGAAUGUUUACAUUGAGAUUUGCAAGAAAAGGAAGGCCUGAUGUUAAAACGGAAUGGAUAUCGGAAGACCUGUCACUAAGACAUUUGGCUUUAUCAUUUGUUGGUGAAUCUAUCAUAUAUCCAGAAAUAAACUUACUCAUAGAUGAACUAUGUUAUAAGGCAGACUCGUACCCUUUCUAUGACAAGUGCACAAUUUCCUAAGAAGAUUAGAGAACUACAAUCUGUUACUCAGUCUUACGUCAGUAUAGAUGCUACAACAAAGGACAAAGCUGCCGCCUUGGCUGCUGCUCGCGGUCUUGGACGCAAUGCAAAGAUUGAGUCUGUAAGGCUGCCAAUGUUGACAGUUCUUAAGCUUCAUAGUUGUGAGGGCAUAACUUCAGCUUCCAUGGCUGCAAUAUCGCAUGGUUAUAUGUUGAAGGUAACAACAAGUAGCGUUGAGAUUGGAUCAGGGGAAACUGCAUGGGAGGCGGAUGUUUCUGUCAGCUGUUGCACAGAAAUUGAUAAGACAACUGAAAAUUCAGUGGCGCCUGGGAUCCAUAAAUGUCGAAACUAUCCUAUCCAACCAAACCAAGUAUUCUGAUCUUCUAGCACGCUCCUGCCAUGAAGCUCACUGUCAAGACCUUGAAGGGAAGCACAGCAACAGCGAAAGCAACAUCUUCUACAACCGAGAAUACACAUGGUUUCAUGGCUCCUCCCAAGCCUCACAAAAUUCUAAUGGUGGCUAAGAAGCCCAACAGUGCUCUUUCUAUUGCCUCGGCUCUCUCUAGUGGUCAUAUGUCUACUAGGUGUAGUAGUACAGAAGUCCAUGAAUUUAAUGGAACCUUUCGUGGAUCUAAUGCACAAUAUAAGGUAACAACAGACAAGAAAGCUCCAAAGUUGUUGAAUUAAACAAAGAGCAGUCCAUGUUUAUCAGACUUUGAUGGUCAGAAUUGCUCCUCUGCUUCAAACUGCAUAAUCAUAGAAAACUCAGAUAUAGGCUCGGGGAGUUGUGGACCUGCAAUUGAAAAGAGUACAGGGGACCUAGUUAUGGGAAGAAAAUAUUCAUGUACAUCUAUGACAAUGUCUCUCAGAGAUACAGAUAUGUCUUCACACAAUGUCAAUCGUAUAGAGUCCAGCAUUUAUCUAAAUCCUGAUGUUGUAUAUGAAACUAGUGAGGAUUAUGCAGCUAUGCAGCCCAAUAUCAGUGUAGAUGGCUCCCUUCUUUUCGAUUUUUCAAGUCAAUAUGUGCCUGACUGUUUUGAUCUUCAAUUUAUGCCGAGCAGUGAAGAAAUACUGACCAACAUGAAGGAUGAAAAUGAGAAGCUUUCGAACAGAGAAUACAUGCUUAAGCAGUAAGAUGAAUUUAUCUCAAGAUGCAAUAACAAUGAUGCUGUCAAGGCAAUGGAAAUUCAUCGAAAAACAGAGAAUGCCUCAGUUUUCGAGUCUGAGAAGCUUGGUGUUGCUAUUUCUUGGGAGACAUUUCAGUGAUAAAGUAGAGCAUGCACCGAUUAAGAAAAGGAGCUUUAUAUUUCAGUCUUCAUUACCACCCCCAUGAACUCCUUCUCCUCCCUAUGAGGAUUCAGAACAGCUUGUAGAUAGUCAACAUUCUUCCGAGACGACAAAUGAAGAGAUUGGCGAUGGUAAAGACUUCUCUGGUAUUGAGAUGUUCGCAGCAGCUGCUUGCAAUAACAGCAUAGGUGAUGAUGUGACGGAAUCAACUACAGAGGAUGGUCCAGUUAUGACAUAUAAAGGAAACAACUCAUCUAUUUCUGCAAUGCCUAUAAAAGAAACUAUGCUGUUGUCUGUGUUGCUAUUACGGUUGAUAACCAGGAUGGUACUAAAGGGGAUAUUUGUAUUGAUAAAAGCAAAACUGCUGGUCUGAUUAAUAAUGAGGAGAAACAAGAAACAGAAACCAAACCAGAAGUUGAUCCUAAAGCCACGAGGAAUGAGCCUAUUACAAAGAUAGUUGCUGAUGGAGUACAAUCUGUGUAUAAUGGGAAAGAAGCUAUUGGCAAUGAAGAUCAGGUAGUGGAAAAUGGUGUUGAAUCUACCAUAAGGAAUCCAACACUUGAGUCGGAAUAGUCAGAAAACAAUCUUACACAUGUUAAUGCGCAGGGCGCUGAAUCGGGAAAUGUGGUCUCCUUUAUCAGUUCCUCUGCUUCCAUAAUCAGGAAAAAUAGUACUAAAAAUUCAGAAAAGAACCCUCCAUUUGAAGGACAUGCAAGGCCGAAGUGUUGAAUUAAUUCUAUGGAGAAAUUUCUAUAAUGCGGAAGGACAAAGGCUGCAAAAUAUGUGGGUAUUUCCUGUUCUGGUUGUGAAAUCUGCUAGAAUCAAUGCUUUCAAUGGGAAAGCAGUGGGGACUAUUUCUACCAGCUAGCUAUUCGAAGAUCCAAAAUAUGUUAGGCUUCUUGCAGCUCUCACUCUUGGUCACCUCCCUCAAUAUGAAGGAUUCGCUAGAGCUAGUGGUUUUGUAUCAGCAUGUCGUGCACUGAUAAGCCUGCUUGAAGACCAACCAACAAAAGAAACGAAAUCCAUUACCUAUCAGAAAGACCUGUCUCAAAUCCGUCCAACAGAAGCUGAAUCGGUUGAAACUCGAAUCAUCAUACUUUUCUCCUCUGUUGUGGCUCUCAAGAGGUCUUUAUUUGACACUGGAAGCAAUCCCACUUCUGAAUUUGUAGUUAAGCCCUUUGCUGAGAGAGAAGUGAUUUCUUUUUGUUUGAUUGCACACCUUGAAAGUCAGUGUUUCAGCUGGAGCUAUUAACUCCUGAGCUGCCGAGUGUGAAGGAUGAAACCCACAGAUUUACAAAAAAACUGGGGGCACUUAUUUAACAGCUUGUGAGAGGAGUAAGCGAUCAUAAGAAUCUGAACUCCUCUUGGAGAUGUUUCUCAGGACCAGAAGCUACCCCACUUCCAGCUAUAUUUAUUGGUGAAAAUCUUGAGUCACCCAAUUGCCUACGGAUAGGCAUCCUUGCUUACAGGUAAUCCUGAACAUGGUGUGCAGCUGAAUUAAUAAUCCGUCAUCUGACAAGUCUUGGAGAUGUUCCCUGCUGCUGUUGUGUUCAGAAAGGUCAGAGUGCACAAAGAAGCUUGCUGAAAGUAUCUCAAACAUGCUACAACAAAACAAUCUGUAUACGAAUUUUGAUCAGCCUCGAAAAAUGCCAGAAGAGGGCAGAAUGCGUUUUUGGGAUUCAAUGCCAGUGUCACAGCCUCAAUCACACCUCCAGACUCCACCCACAUAAUUGCCACCUUGCCACAUAUCAUACUCCUAAUGUUUUUUUUCCUUUAUUUUGUGAUUAUAUACAUCUUAAAUAUGAAUUUCAAAAUAUUUUUCCAUCAAAAUAACUUUGGUUUUCUUCAAAAUUCCUUAGGAGCUUCUAGAUAUAAAAUCCAAAUUUUAACAUGCUAUUUGUUGCCACUUUCCUUCGGGCAUGCACUAUCUUCUUUGAUUUUUAACUAUUUUCGUGAUUUCCUUGAUUUUCAACAAAGCAUGAAUAAACUUCAUGAUUCCAAAUAAUGGAAUUCGUAGAAUCAAUUCAUGCAAAAUUAAUUAGGGCUUUGGUGGGGGCCCGACAUUCAUGAUAUUCACUUCAAUAUUGUUUGCUUGAUAUCUGAUUGAUUUUUUUUUAUUCUUCUCGAUGAAAUACUUGAAUUCGCUUUAUAUUUAUUGUUGAGAUAUCCUUGUUUCCCAUAGACGUGUGGAUGCUCGCUAAUCAGGUACGCUCUUACCACCCUACAACUCUAAAAUUCUAUGAAUGUGUACGUUAUCAUGAGCCAUGACUAUGUUUGACGCCAUAAUUGAUUGCCUUGAUGCUUGUUUGAUCAUCUUUGAUAAAAUACAUAUUAUGUGUCAUAUUUUCAAGCUAACCUCUCAUGUUUUAUGAUAGCGCUUGAGAAGCCGUUCAGGUACGCACUUCGACUCUCUCUUAUGGUUGGUUUUCCUGUUAGGCAUGCAAUAUUCAAAAUCACCUAGCCUAUUUAGAUACCUAUAACGUACCGAUUAAUUGCCACACUUCCCUUAACUUAGUCAGUAGAGACCUUUAUAGGGCUUAGAGGGGUGCUACCUUUUAAAGGUACCUUCCCAAUAGGUAACCUGAUCCCCGGACCUAGACUCGGGUUUCUCAAAGACAUGCUUUUUCCAAAACUAUGGAGUCACUUUUUAGGGUUUUUCUUUCUUGUUUUAUUUUCCCUUUAAAAUAAAAAUAAAAUAGGUGGCGACUCCAACUUUUUUAAAAUUAAUUUUUCACAAAUAAAAAAGCGAGUCUCGUCGAUUGAGUGGGGACGCACGUGAAAAAUGCGGGUCCACAAUAUCCUUCCAAAAUUUCAUGCGAAAUGGACUUCAUUUGGUAGGUCCACCAGCAUCCUAAAGCUGGCGACCCAUUUUUCCCACUCUUUGCCGACGACUCCCCUACAUCUCUCACUCGAUUUCCUUUCUUCAUUUUCUUUUCUUCUUCUUCUUUUAAACUCUCACGCCAAUUUCACUAUAUAUAUAUAUAUAUAUAUAUAUAUAUAUAUAUAUAUAUAUAUAUAUAUAUAUAUAUAUAUAUAUGUAUAUGUAUUAUUAAAACAAAUCCUAAAAUACCACGCACAUCCAUUUCUUAAUAAAUUAAAACCAUUAUUCUUAAAUUCACCUUCCGUAAUUAUGAAUUAUACCAAACUUAUGAUUUUCCAUUUCACGAAAAAUACCACCGUAUUCGUAAUUUAAUUUACUACAAGUCUACUCUUCAAAAAGUAUAAUUUGAUUAUAAUUACAUGAAACAUUGUUUUUUUUUACUUUAAAAUUCAUUUAAAACAUGAUAUAAUUAACUAUUAACAAAAUUCAAUUCCAUAAAAUAUUAAAAACAUAAAAUAAUUUUUUGGCAAUCAAGAAGUUGAAAUUUGUAAUAAUAACCCUUAACCCGUUAAUUUUACCUAUAUUUAUUUACCAAAAAAAUUUAAAUAAUAUUCUAAAAUUUAAUUCCAUAAAUUAAUUAGUCAUUCAAUUAAUAAAAAUCAAAUUCUCUACCCUUUGGUAUAACUUUUAUUUAAUUUACUUCAUUUUUCAAAUUAUUCAAUCGCAUCAAAAUUUCAAAAGUUAAAUUCACUAAAUUCACAUUUAAUUAAUUUAUCCUUUUGUAUUUUUUUUUUCUAAAUUCGCAUAUCAUAAUUUAAUCUUAAUUUAAUUUUGAUUCAAUUUUGUUUGAUGUUUUCUAAUUUUAUGAGGUUUAAUUUCAAUUAUAAAAAUUAAAUUCAAUUUCUUUUUAAUUAUCCAUUAUCACAAUUUGAUAUAAUAUAAUUUUUUAUCAAGUUUUUCUUACUAUGAUUUUUCUUAUAAUUAUCCAAUAAUAAUUAAAUUAAUUCUCGUAACAUAUUUAAUAUUCAAAUUUUAAAAACUUAAUCUCAAUUAUUUGAUGGUUAAUUUUUUUCUCAAAAUCUAAAUUUAAUUUAUGAAAUUCUCACUCCUUACAUCUGACGUGGCAAAAUUUUCAAACUAUUGACUUUUGACCAACUUUUCCUAAAUUUAUCCUAAUUAAAUACUAACACAUGGAUUUUCACCACUCUUUUUGACCUUUUGACCCACAAAUUUAUGAAAGACUUUAUGCUUGGAGAAUCUACAAAAACCUGGGUAUUACAAUUUCUCAAGUUGAUAAGUGUCGUGGUUAUGAAGCCACCACUUGAAUACUCAGUCGCCAUUGUAAUGGGCCUGGAUGCAAAUAGUACAUCAUGUUUCUUCAAAAGUUCUCUGCUAAUCUCUGGGAAAGUUGCAGGGACGAGAUGAAAUAUUUCCCAAUUGAAUACAUGCAAUUUCAGUGUUCAUUUCUUUCAUAAAGCCAAUGUAUCCACCAGAAAGUUGUCUUGUUGUUGAGUAAAUGAGGUAGAUAUUGCACUAGUGGCCAUGGAGCUAAUCCUGGAGGAAGUUGUAUCGGCUUGCAUUUGGUACUUGUUUUGGAUUUUAAUUUAGUGAAGAUAGGAAAGAUUGAUGUGAUGAAAAGCAGCAAGAGGAAGUUGAGAUGAGACAACACAUCAUCUGUGGUAGUAGAAGAAAACAAGGUUGAGUUACUACUACUACUCUCUGCAACAAAACCAUUUACACGUCUUUCAUAGCAAAACCAUGUUUGUCCUAUCUUGGGUCUGGAUGCACAUUUUUAAUAUUGGGGAAAUCAUGCAACCAAAUGUCACACACAAAGAGAGAGAAAAAAAUACGUUUUUUAGAACUUGAAAAGGUAAAGUGGGACAAAAAAUAUUAUCCAUUCUUGAACUCUAAAAGUAAAGUUAUAAAAAGCUUAGUUUUUUUUUUUUUUUUUGUUAUGUAUGAUUGCAUGAUUUCCCCCUUUUAAGAUUUUAUCUCAUAAAAUUUUUUUCUAGAAGGUUCAAAUAAGUUUGAUGAAUAUUGUUUAUUUUAGUAAUUUUAAUUUUAUGGGGUACUUAAAACAUUAGAAGUUCACAAAAAGCAACAUUUAUAAGCUACCUAUCUAAAAAGCUUGCCCUAAUCAUUGAAAUCCAAAAUAUAAAGUGACAACACACUUUUUAAAGAAAUUUUCAAAAUAGUUUUUAAAAAUACAUUUAUUUAUGAUAUUUUUAAAAUAAAAAUCUCAAAAAUAACUUGUUUAUAUAGUGUUUUAUUAGACAAAUACUUGAUCUUUAUAAGAUCACCCUAAUUAUAGAUUUAUGAACAUGUAACACAACAAUUAUCUAUAUGUAUACUUAGAAUUAUUAUAUUUUAAGUUUUUAACUACAUAGGACAUCAUGAGUUUUUCCACCAUUUAUCUUAUAAUAAGUUUAUUUAAAUAUGAUAAAGGAUAUAUUAUCUCAUUUCUUAUUAUAUCUGAUGCUAUAUAUAUAUAUAUAUAUAUAUAUAUAUAUAUGUAACAAAUCAAAUACAAUUUAAAGAUUUUAAUUAACCAUCUAUUAGCAACAAAGCAAUCUCUUAAUCUCAUUCAUAAUAUUAGGAUAAUUUAGUAUUUCCUUUUAUAAAACACUAGCAUAUAAAUCAACACAAAUCAUAUUAAGGGUGUAUUUGGUGUUGAUUUUAGGAAGCGUUUUUAGUAUUUCUAAUACUUGAAAGAUAAAAAUUAUCAAGUUUUAGAAAGAUCAAAAGCGCUUUUUAGAAUGACUAUCAAAUACAUGCUAAAUAUUACUUUUGGAUACUUAUAUUUUUAAAUAACUCUUAAAACUUUUAAGGCAAGUCUCUACUAUUUAUAUAAAUCCCCUAUUAUUUUUAAUUUUUAGAAACAAAAAAUAAAGAAUAGAAACUCCAUUUAAACAUCGCCUUAUUAUUUCCUAUUAUAAAAUAACACAAAUCAAAUGAAUUAUUUAAAAAUAAAUAAAUAUAAAAUCAAAGUUGAAGAGAAAAAACUCUUGUGCAUUAAAAAAACAUCAAAAUAAAUAAAUAAAUAAAACAUCAUCAAAUAAAUAUAAAAAUAAAUUAAUGUUAUGGAAAAAUGAGAAUAGGCAACAAGAAAAUAAGAACACAGAUUUACAUGAAAAAUGCUAGAUGGGAAAAACCAUGGAUAGAGGAGAAGAAAAUCCACUAUAUUAAAAAUUUGGUAUAAAAUGUGAGAGAAUCAAGCGAGUAUUGUAUAGGCAUAAUCACUAUGACCCUAAAUCCUAUACAUCAUCGCAUAUGUAUGGUGUAUGCGAUAAUAUUUGUGAUAAUAAAAAUAUUGUCGCAUAAAAUAACUAUGGGAUGUAAUAUUUGUAAUAAUAUUCUUUACAAAAAAAUAUUUUUUCUUUGCUUUAUUCACUUUGAUCACAAGUUGAAAUAAGACAAUAAAAAUAUUUUCUUAAUUUUUGAAAAUUAAUUGAGGACUUAGAGCUACUUGUUACUGAGUGAAUUUGCUGAAUGGUGAAGAAUGCGUGUAUAGUAGUUUUGCAAAUUUUCAAACUUGUAGACAUAUUUUGUGAAGUCUUUUUCUCUUUGUAAAGCCCCAUUUUCUAUGUGAAGUUAUUUUUUCAAUAUUCUCUUUGGAAGGAAUUUACCAUUAGUUAUAUAGGUAAGAUUAAGGAAUUAAAUUUGGAAUUCUUAAGAUUUGAUUGCUUAAUUCAAAGAAUUUGGUUCAAGGGAAAUUUGCCAACAAAAUAAUAUUUAUUUUUAAUUCUAUGAUGACUUUAAUUAUUUGAUAUAAUUUUAUUUUGAAAGACUUGAUGUGGGGGACUCAUCACUUAUUGAGUCCAAAUUUUGUUGCACCCAAAUUUUUAUGAGCUAAGAAACCAUAAUUUUAAAGACCAAUUCAGUGGUAAGUGAAUAUGCUAAAAUCUUCUAUGUACAAAUGACCUCACUUCAAGGUGCAACACAUACAUGUAUUAUUAUGUGUAUGGGAUGAGUCUUGAAGUUAGUCUUCAUUCUUCUUUGAUUUUUUUUUUCUUCAAAUAAAUAAAUAAAACAUCAUCAAAUAAAUGUAAAAAUAAAAUAUGUAUCGGUUAAUUGGAGAGGAGAGCUUUAAGGGCAUUUCUUCUAUGAAAUUCUAUGCUCCACGUACCAUAAAUUUGUACUCAACCAACAAAAUUACAGAAUGGGUCCAUGCACAAACAAAAAUAACCUAAAUGUAAAUAUCUAAAAAUGUAUAAAGUUCACAAUAGAUAUUCAAGCCCAAAUUUAAAUUUCAAAUUAGUCCAACAGAUUUCAUCAAUCAAAAUGGGUCCAAAUUAGCAAAUAUAACCCAACAAAAAUAUCUCAUAUGUCAUAGGCCCUAAUUUAAAAUUUUCAAAUUAAUAGCCAAACUAUAAGUUCAAUUAAUCAAACCCAAAACAUGAUAAAUUAAAAUAAAUCUCAUUAGGCCUAAACUUAAUAUCCCAUAAUUCAAUAUAUAAACCUAAAUCCACAAUCAAAAUCAACCCAAUUUAUGCUAAUCCUGAUUUACAAUCAAAAUCAAACAUAAUUUAAUAAGUAAAUAACUAAAUAAAUUAAGCAAACUCAAAACACCCAAACCACUACAACAUAAAUCAAACAAUAAUAAAUAUAAUGACAAUAAUAAUAAUAAUAAUAAUAAUAAUAAUAAUAAUAAUAAUAAUAACAAAAUAAAAUAAAAUAAAAAUAAAAAAUUUAACUCACAUCGGAGCCAGUUUGAAUGUCUUGGGAAAGAAAGAAAAUGAGAGAAAAGUGAGAGAUGAUUGACAACUGACAGUGGCUCACUGGCGGCGACUGGCUAGUGGUCCUACCGAUGGUAGUGAGGAUUGAUUGGUUUUUGGGAAAAAAAAAUAAAAUGAAGAAAAGAAAAUGAGGAGUAAUAAAAAAAAUGGAGAAAUUAGAGGAAUGUGGGAGAAGAAUGGAGAGAGAGAACGUAGAAAAUGAGUGAAAAGAAAUGAGGCUAGUUGGAGGAGAAAGUGGUAGUGUGUGAGCUAAAGUGAAGAAGAAUAGAAGAAGAAAAUGGAGAAGAAUGGGGAAAAAAAAUCCGCCUCCCUAAAUGAAGAGAGGUGGGUAGCCUAAAGAAGAAGAAAAAAAAUAAAAUAAAAUAAAAUGGGUAGAAAAUGAGAGGGGGUUGGUGGUCUUGUGAAUGAGGUGGUAUGCGUUAGAGAGAGAGAGUGGGUGGGGUUGUUGGGGAAGGUAUGAGAGAGAGAGGAGAGAGAAAAGAAAAAAAAGAAAGAAAAGAAAAAAGAUAAUAUAAAAUAAUAAUAAUAAUAAUAAUAAUAAAAUAAAAUAAUAUACAAAAUAAUAAAAACUAAUAAUUAAAUAGUGAGUGAGCAAAAAAUAUCAUAUGUAAUCGGGAUUUAAUUUUAAGAGUAAAGUUGGGUUAAAAAUUAAUGUAAAAUAAAAUUGAGACAAAUUUUGGGGUAUACAAAUAUGCUGAUUCGACUCAUGGUAGCUCAGCUUUAAAGGCGUAUCAACAAAAUUUAUACCUUGAAUACUAUUACUAAAGUAGCCAAGCUACUAUAGCAUAGUGGUUCUAGGAUCGUUCACUGGGAAGGGUUUUCGCAAACACUAGUGAUAUUCAAAUUAGGAAAAUUGGUGAUUUUUUUUAUGGAUGUUAGCUUUAAAAGAAGAUGUAAAUGUUUUAGAAAGAUUUAAACUAAUCUAAGCUAACAUUAAAGACUAAAAUGAAAGGGUGUAAAAACAAGUUUCUCAAAGAUAGGAUAGCUAUGCUCUGGCUCUUAUGCAAAUUGGAAAUCUCAGGAUAGGCUCCUCGCGUUGGGGUUGCAACUAUGGUGAUGCUUGCUUCCCGAACCGGUAUGGAUUUAGCAAAUCAAGUUUUAAUCCUUUAAAAUGACAAAACAGAUGGUAGUGAAUUUCAUCAAUGGUUAUUCACCUUAGACUUCCUUUGAAUGGCUCGUAAGAGAUAACUAAUGGUCUAAAGCCAAAAGCUUACCAAAUAUUGGCAACUCAAAGUCAUUCCAAGUGAUAAACUCACCUUUCAAUGGCCAUUGAAAUUGGUUCUAACGGAUUAAUGAAAAACUUGGAAUUGAAAACCUCACCUUCCAAUAGCUCGUAGGAGAUAACUAAUGGAUAGAAAUCUAAAAGCUUAUCAAGUAUUGGCCGUUGGAAGUUGUUCAAAGGAAAUAAAAACCAAACUUUGCAUUAAUGAACCUUUAAUGAAAAACGUCUACCUUACCUUCCAGGUGCGAGAAAUUUCCAUGGGAUUGCAUCCAAGCCAUCACAUAACAUCCAUACUUUGAGAAACUAAAAGUUUUAGUCAAUCAUCCUCUAAGGAAAAGCCCUCAGAGGCUAUUUGGCUACUAAGAAAAUAGAAAUGGGAAAGAACAGGAGAAACGAGAGAGCUCUGUAUCUAUUCUAAGUGUAAAACGUAAUAUAUCUUCUAUAUGAUCCAAGAGGUGAUUUCCACCCCUUAUAUAGUCUUUACAAAAGCAAAAGCUUGUGAUUGGUUAGUUACAAGGAUAAGAAAGGAAAUUACAUCACAAAAUACAAAGGAAAAUAUCUAAAGUGGAGUCGGCAAAAGCAGAGGAAAAUUCGCAACACGCAUGGGUUAUGCGAAUUUUGAAGGUGUUAUGCGAAUUUCGCAUAACACCUUAUGUUAUGCGAAAUUUUCGCAUAACCUGGAGCAGUUGGCUUCCGAAGGCCAUAUCUUCCUCAUUUAAACUCCAAAUCAUGCACGGUUUGAAGCGUUGGAUGAGCUUUGAAAUGGUAUAUAGUAUGUAAAAAAUGGACUUCGGAAAGUGCUCCAAAAGUGCGAAAGAAGACUGCAGCUGCUGUCCUCUGUUUUCCUCUUCUCCAUUGUNNNNNNNNNNNNNNNNNNNNNNNNNNNNNNNNNNNNNNNNNNNNNNNNNNNNNNNNNNNNNNNNNNNNNNNNNNNNNNNNNNNNNNNNNNNNNNNNNNNNUUGUCUUAAUAUGACAUGAACUCUCCCAAAUAAAAAAUAAAAAUAAAAAUCUAAAACCCUACAAAAAUGGCCAAAACGAAAACUCCUAAGGUGCCUCUAAAGUUAUACUAUGGAUCUAAACUCCCUUAGAAAAGCCUCCAAAAAUGGCCCAAAAAUCGGUGUCAAAAUCGAGUAGCAAUCAGACCACUAAGGAGCACAUCAACAAAUGCAUACAAAGGGAAAAAAACCAUACGUGUACCAUACGAUGACAAAAGGCAUAAGGUAUCCAACAAUAUGACUGAUUCACGUGUUACGAGCUCAAAGAACUUUGUCAUGCACCAUGGAGGAAGGGAAACUCUAGAAUAAUGUGAUGAGGAAGUUAUUAGCACAAUGUAACAAAGUGAGGAAAAAAGUGAUGACUGCAAAGCUGUGAUGACUGCAAAGCUGUGAGGACAAGGUGCACAAUGCUAAUGAAUAUGAAAUGAAUAGCACUAGGCUAUAAUGCAAUGAAUAGCUCAAGGUUGUACCAUAAUGAACAAGUCAAGGAUGUGUAAAGAUGAGGAAUAACUCGAGGUUGUAAUGCAAUGAACAACUUAGGGUUGUGAAUGCAAUGAACAACUCAGCGCAAUGAAUGAAAUGAAUAGCUAAGGGCUGUGAAUGCAAUGAACAACUCGAGGUUGUGGAUGUAAUGAACAACUCAUGGUCAUGGAUGCAAUGAACAGCUCAGGGCUGUAGAUGAACAACUCAGGGUUGUGGAUGUCAUGAACAACUCAAGAAUAGGGGCACUGUACACCCAAAAUGGGAGAUCACGAUCUACGAUUCCAAGUCAAACCACUAAAGGGUGACCAAAAUGAGGGUGAUCAACUCACUAAAAAAGAUGAUCAAAAUGUCUUAAGGGAGAGGAGAUGCCCCAGAUGAAACUUAAAGGAAAUGAGUAGUGCUAAUGAAACUAAAAAAAGAAAAAAAUGUCACAACUGAAAUUGAAAAAAUAGCAAACUUAGAUUAAAGUGCAAUGAACAACUUUGGGAUGUGGAUGUGAUGAAUAGUACCGUGUUGUAAUGAAAUGAAUAACUCUAAGAUAUGGGCAUUGUACGCCUAAAGAGGGAGAUCGUGGUUUACGACUCCAAGUCAAACCACUAAAGGACGACUAAAAUAAGAUGAUCAACUUACUAUAAAUGAGAAUGCAACUAUCUCGAGAAAAAGGGUAUGCCCCAAAUGACACUCAACAGUAAAAGAAUGACACAAAAGAAACUAAUACAAGAGGAUGCCACAAAUGAAACUGAAAUGAUAACAGACUCAGUACUAAUGUGUAAUGAACAACUUUGGACUAUGGAUGCAAUGAAUAGCACUGGGUUGUAAUGAAAUGAACAACUCUAAGAUGUGGGCACUAUACGCCUAAGAAAUGAGAUCAUAGUUUACGACUCUAAGUCAAACCGCUAAAGGGCGACUAGAAUAGGAUAAUCAACUCACUAAAAAUGAGGAUGCAACUAUUUCGAGAAAGGGGGUAUGCCCUAAAUGACACUCAACAGUAUAAGAAUGACAUAAAUGAAACUAAAAUAAGAGGAUGCCACAAAUAAAACUAAAAUGAUAACAAACUCAAAACUAAUGUGCAAUGAAUAACUCUAGGUUGUGGAUGCAAUGAACAACACUGGGCUGUAAUGAAAUGAACAACUCUAAGAUGUGGGCACUAUACGCCUAAAGAGGGAAAUCACGGUCUACGACUCCAAGUCAAACCACUAAAGGGUGACUAGAAUAGGAUGAUCAACUCACUAAAAAUGAGAAUGCAACUAUCUCGAGAAAAGCGGGAUGCCCUAAAUGACACUCAAUAGUUAAAGGAUGACACAAAUGAAACUAAAACGAAAUGAUACUACAAAUGAAAUUGAAAUGAUAACAAACUGAUAACUAAAGUGCAAUGAACAACUCUAGGCCGUGGAUGCAAUGGACAGCUCAAGAAUAGGGGAACUGUUCGCCCAAAAUGGGAGAUCGUGGUCUGCGACUCUGAGUCAAACCACUAAAGGGUGGCUAAAAUCAAAAUGAUCAACUCACUAAAAAUGAGGAUCUGAACAUCUCAAGAAAGGGGUUAUGCCCCAAAUGAAACUGACAAUAGAGGGAUGCCCUAAAUAGACUGAAGAAAGGAGGAUGCCCUAAACAAACUAACAAAAAAUGGAUGCCUUAAACAAACUGACGGAAGUGAAAUGCCCUAAAUAAACUGACCAAAGAAGAAUGCACUAAACAAACUCCGAGAAAAAAAAAAAGAAGUAUGCGAUAUAGAAUCAAAGACACCUAAAGCAAAAACAAGAAACAAAGAAUGUGGUUUACAACUAGAAACACCCAAAAGAACCUUAAAGAAGUGACUGGGAUAAUGAACUUAAUGAAAAUGGGGUAUGCCACAGUAAAAGACUCGGAAGUAUCAGCAAAUGGGUCAAACGACCAUGAAAUCAAUAGGAGAUAUGAUGAACCCAAAAAGGGCAUAUGCCCUAACAAAAGAACACUAAAAGGGGGUAUGCCUCGAUAUGACGACUCACAAUAAUUAAGAAAUGGAUCGAGCAAUGAGAAAAUCUGCAAAAUAUCUUAUGAACUCAAAGAUGGGGGUAUGCCCCAGUGUAAAAUAGUGACCAACAUAAGACACAGAAUGUCACCAUACAAUACACUCUAGGAUAUGCUCAAUGACAAUGUAAUGAAAACAAUAGCCUCAAUCAACAAAUGUUCAAGCAAGACCAUGCAUCACAUAAACUAAAAUAAUAAGCUAAACAAAUGCUANNNNNNNNNNNNNNNNNNNNNNNNNNNNNNNNNNNNNNNNNNNNNNNNNNNNNNNNNNNNNNNNNNNNNNNNNNNNNNNNNNNNNNNNNNNNNNNNNNNNAUGUCCAACGAAGGAAACUGGGUAUCCAAGUCAAACCAAGUAUGUUGAGGAAACUGAACCCAUAGGACAAUAACUUUAUGAUCCAUUGAAAAUAGCAAUCAUGAAUAGAAGGUCGAGUCUCGAUGUCAAAAUCAACAAGGUGGCAUUGCCCCAGUAUGAAUACAUCUUCUCAAAAUGGGUAAACCCUCAGUGCAAGAUAAUCUCUAGAAAGUAUGUGUCUAGUAUAAACUAUCAUCUCACAAAAUCUAUCACUGAUGAGUGGGCUAUACCCCAGUGUAAGCAUUUCCAAAUCAAACAUCGAUGAGAGGAGUACAACCAAUGAUAAAUAAUAUGAUCAAAACAAAUCUCCACUCCUCAAAGUCAUCAUGGUAACGUGAAGAGAGUAUCUAACCUCAUUUAAAGAAAGAUCAUGUCCCAAUGUGAAAAAUAUCAAGCAAAGUGGUAUGUCUCAACAAAAAUGCACUCUAACAUGAUCAUGCUUAGAUGUAAGCUGGUAUCUUUAAGAUCAAUCACCAAUGAAAGGGUUAUGCCCCAGUAUAGGGCAAUCUCUGAAAUGACUAAAAUCCGCUACAAGCUCUCACAAGUGUCUAUGUCAUGAACUAAUCAUCUCAAAAAAUAAAAUAAAUAAAUAAAUAAAUAAAUCUAUCAAUAAUGAUGAGAAGGUUAUGCUCCUAUAAUCACAUCAAGAAAAUCACCCGGUCAUAUCUUGUACUCCAAUGUGAAAGGAAAAUAUGAUCACCUCCAAAGAAUGGCUAUGCCCCAAAAUACAUCAUUGAUUGAGAAAUAUGCCCCUCCGUAAAGUACAUCAACUGAAAUAUGCCAAUCAUGCCUCAUGCUCCAAUGUGAAAAAUGACGUAUAAUAUUCUUUGAGGGAUGGUCAUGACUCAAAAUCCAUCAUCAGUUGAGAGAAGUAUGCCCUGACAUAAUGGUCAUCUAAAAAAUCAAUCCUCGACUAAGAAAUGUGUGCCUUGAUGUGAUGUAUCAAGCAAAAUGGCUGCAUACCCCAUAAAAACUCUCUAAGGUGGCUAUGCCCCAAUGUUGGAUCAUACCACAACUCCUGGUCUAUCACAAUCAAAAUGCUCUCCAACCAAUCCCAAGUAUCGCCCACAUGAGAGCUAUCAAACACAAUGUGUGAUGUCAUGGCCUCAAGGUGGUCUUAAGAUUCGGGACGUAACAUAGGCUAGGGUAAUAAGGUGAAGAAAUGAAGGAAAACUAGGCUUAAUAAUCCUAAUGAUAAAACCCCAUACCCUUAUGUAUAAAAUGCAAUAUGUGCAAAGAGUCUCAUAAACCAUGGAUCUAAGGACACCCAAUAUGAAUAUAUCAGUGAGGAAGAAAGAAUCUAAGAUGAAUAUAUCAAUGAUAAAAGAGAAGAAAUGAAGAAUAUCAAACUGUUGAUGGGAUGUAUAAGAAUGAUGUGUGGAAAAUAUUGAACAUGGAAUGUAAAUUGAUAUGAACAAAGAACAAUGUAGGCAAGGCAAAUGCGAUAUCAUGAUAAGAACAAAUAAAUCGAAGAAAAAUGAAUGACACUAAUCCACUCAAAUCAAGUCAUGAGAAUAGUCAAAUCACCCACGUAUGUAUGAUGGANNNNNNNNNNNNNNUGAAAGUUCACAUACGAACUUUCAUAAGCAACUAACUCAAUAAAGCAACCUCAAUGACCAAUAUAUACACUCAAUAAAGGAUGACACUGUAUACAUGUGUUUAUUACUUUUUCUUUUUCAUUUUUUUUUCAUUUUUUUCAUUUUUUUUUCUUUUACUCGCACAUACUCUGAAUAUCAAUAAAUGAACUUCUCUGAGAAUACAUAAUGAAAUGGAUAUACUCUCAAACAAUGAUGUAAGCGAACUCUCUCUGACAAGAUGACCCUCUAAAUUAAGGAUUUCCAAACUAACGUCCAUGAGAUACGAGUUGAGGGGGAUAUGACUAUCUUCCCUGCACCAAAAUGUGAAAGAUCAUCACUCAAGGCAUAAAAAAAUGUGAUGAAAAAAAUAAAGAUGAAACAAAAGAUAUAAACAAUGAAGUAUGAUGAAGAAUGAUGUUGGGACAACAAAAAAAUAGUGAAGAAGGUGAGCCAAUAAGUCCACAACUCAUGAAACUCUCGAAUAAAAUAUAUAUACACCAAAAGACCCUUAUCCCGGUGUAAAAUGUGAGCAAGGAUAUAAGAAAGAAAAGACUAUGAUGCUCAUGUGAGGUUCAAAGGGCUAGCAAUGGUCCAAAUAUCAAUAAAGGUAAUAGGGUGUGAGCUAACCAAAAUGAAGGUCACAUAUCCUACGACCAUGGUCUCAAACAUCAUGCUCUUAAGCUUUCAAAUGAUCGAUACUGAAAAUCGAUGUCCAUUUGAUAUAAACACGUCAACUCUUUGGAAUUGUGCGCCAAACCAUACUCCAAAUGCUCCAUAAUAAUCUCAAAGAUAAUCAUCUCAAAGCAAAGUAAAUGGCGAUCUCAUAAGGCACAACUACUCAUCACAAGCCAACUCUCAUCAUGCAAGAUCAAUCUCUAUUUUCAUGGAAAAAUAAGUGACAAUCUCAUCAGGAAAUCGACCAAUCCUCACAUCGUAAACCAACCAAAGAUCAUAAGUCAUUCAUUGCCAUGCAAGAUCAAUCCCAGGCUCAAACUCCUCAUACUCUACCUGGUUGGAUUAGAGAAGAAAUGGGCAAAGCUAGAAAAACUGAAGAUGGAAAGGUCAUAUAAUGGUGUCAAGGGUGAUAUUGUGCAAAACUCACAAUGGAUGGAUGUAGGUCAAAGCAAAGUCAAUGUGUGAGAGUGAGUAAGACACUACUCUGAUCAUAAGAAAAUGGGUCACAAUCUCAAACUCCCAAGGUCAACUCUCCGAUCUUAGGCUAAUAAGCUCAACAUCCUCCAUGAUAGGUCAACCCCCAAGAAUGUGCAAAUGAAUAGAUGCCUCAAGUCAAAAGUACAACACAUCAUAUGAUAUAUGGUUCUACGAUGACAAUCUAAAACUUAAAAUAUGUUAGAAACUCUAAGGUCAUAAAGGUGUCCACUAUGAGAUGACUACAAAUGUGACUAAGGAAUCUUUAUCAAUAAUCCAAAAAAUGAAUGAGGUGUGAAAAACAACACUAUCAUGAGAUCGUUACCCCAUCAAUAACAAAAUAUCUCUAAUUCACUUUCAAUCUAAGCUCUAUAAAGAAAAACAAUAAGGUUAUAAAGGCAAACCUCUCAAAAAUGGUGUGAAUGUGAAAACAUGCCUUCACCUUUCUAUAAUGAAAAUAUCAGGUUGAAAAUAGAAAUAGGCAAAUCGACCAAAGAAUGAAGUACAAAGUCCAUGAUAGGUGAAGAAUGUAAAAAGGUGAACAUGAUCAAUGAACAUAUCCCAAAACAUCAAGCAUAAAGUGACAACAAACCGAAAGAAUGUGUCGACUUAAGGAAAUAAGACUAUCUGAAGCCCCAGGGAGAAAAUGUGCUAGACUUAACGAGCGAUAAGAAGAAACUAAAACUAUAUAGCAAGGGGUGGUCCAACUGAUACUCAAACUUGCAGCAAUAUCUAAGCACUCUCGAUUGGAGACCAAAAGAUGGAGUAUUGGAUCCAUACUGUGACUAAAGCGGCCUCGAAGGCUCUCAGAUGCAGCCACGUGAGGAAAGGAAAUCCUAAUUAAAAAUAUCUAAAGGUUAACCUACAAGGUCAAGGCGGCUCUAAAAAGAAAAAUUGAGUGGACUUUAAAGGAUCCUUAGCAAAAGCGAUCAUACCCUCCGAUGGUAUGCAACCUCCUACACGUCUUGAAAGAUACGGGAUUGAUUCCAUGCAAGGUGGUCAUCACCUCCACACAUGCACUAUCUCAUAUCUUAGAGGGUUUCCUAAUGAUGAAGACUCUUACAUCUCUCAACACUUAGUGGUAAUCUAAGGUGCACAGUGAACGGUGUGGGUUCAUCCGAAAAUCCUAUCAAACUAAGCAAAGAGAAAACACACUGGUCACACAAAUAUCCUGAAAUCUAGCUCUAACCUAUACAAGUCUUCAAAGAUUGGACUCCAAUUAGCAUUAAUGUUUCGACCUUCUCCAGAAUGCUCCCAAACAUAGAUAUAGUCCACCAUUAAACCCUACUCCGAAUCACUAGCUCGGUCGAAGAGCAAACAAAGUAACAAGUCUCAUAUCAAAUACGAGAUCAAGGGGAACACGGUCACCCGAGACUAGGGAAUUGGAGAUAAGGGGAUAGAUGUGUGUCCCACAUAGACAAGCAGCAUGCAUCACACAGAAGAAGAAUAGUUAUGCAAUAGACAACCAAGCAAAUAAUAGGUAUAUCAUUCAUAUAUACACACAAGCUAAACAAGAAAUAGGUAUAUAACAAGAAUAAACAAUAUGUUCAGAUAAACAAGAUAAUAUACAAUAAAGAGAAUCAAUCAUGCCAAUAUGAAUGAGAUAUAUAAAAAUGAGAAUAUACAUGUCAAGGAGAGCAAGAUAAUCAUACAACAAGAAGAGUCUUAUGUUAAAGCAAGCAAGAGAAUCAAUUGAUGUAGUCAACAUGUCAAUAUCGCAAAUGAACAUAAUAGCCAAAUAUGCAUCAUAAAGAAAAAAGGGUAAUCAUGCAGCACACAGUCAUACAAAAAAAAUACAGACAAACAUAAGCAAAUAAAUGUAAACACACAUGAUAACAAAAAUCAAUGUAUAGUAAGGCACAUGUAAUAUAUACAUAAAAUAAUCAUCAAGUCAACACUCAUAUACCUUAAAACAUGAAAAUAUACAAUAAAGACACAACGAGAGGGUGUUCACUGAUCGAUUAAUCAAACGCUACAUUUCCCUUAACUCGAGUUCAAGUUUGAUCCUUUAAAUAUACCUAGUGGAGUCGCUAUUUUGUGGACCCACAUUUUUCACAUGCGUCCUUACACAACAACGAGACUAAUUUUUUUUAUUUGGUGAAAAUUUGAUUUUUAGAAAAAAGACUUUGAGUCGUCACUUAUUUUUAUUUUUUUUAAGGGAAAACAAAAUAAGAAAGAAAACCUUGUGUGACUCCUUAUUUGAGAAAUACAUGUAUGCAAAAACCAAAUCUGGAUUCGAGGGUCAAGUUACCUAUUGGGAAUGUACGAUGGUGAGCUGUAGCACCUCUCUAAGCUCAUAUACGUACGGUCUCUACUAAACGAAUUAAGAGAAUUGUGGUAAUUAAUUAAUUAGUCAUGGAUAUCAAGAAAAAGAAUUUCACAAAUGAGUACGUACAAAUCAUAAUAAAAAAAAAUCAAAUUAUGAGAAUAGACAAAAUAAAUAACAAAAGAAUUGUGCAAAGUGAUUUAUUAAACUAAAUAAAAAAGAAGAUAUUAAAAAAAUUAAUUUUCAAGAAAUUUCAAAGGAUUUUAUUAAAAUGAUUUUGAAUUCAUGAUUUUAAUUUAUUUAUUUACAAAAAAAAAUGUCAAUUUAUUUUCUUCAAGUAAUUUGAUUCAAUUUCAUUUGUAUUCAAUUUUUUUUUAAAAAAAAAAAGUUAUUUACACUCAUGGUUGUUAAAAGAAUUAUUAACAAAAUUUCAAGUUGACAAUAAAAAUGAUUUUUACUUGCUUUUACUUGAAAACAAUGAAUUUUUACAAUUUUAUUAACAAAAGCAUUUCAAUUUAAGAAAAGUGACUUAUACAAAUUAUUAAAAAAAUAUAACUUUAUUUGCAAAAGGAUUUUUAAUUAAAAAGAAAAAAUUUAAAUCAUCUAUUUCUAAAAAUGACUUUUAAUCCCAUAUUAAUUAAGGAAAAAAUGAGUUAUUUAAAAAAACAUUUUUUGGACAAUUUGAAUAAAAAUUAAUUUUUGGGACAACUUUAUUUACAAAACAAUUUUUAGACAAUUAUUAUUAAAAACAAAUUUUCAAAUUCUAUUAACAAUAAUUUUUUGGAUUUUUCCAAACACAUUUUUAUGAAUUUUUAUUAAUAAAAUUUUUUUUUAUUAAGAAGAAUAUUGUUUGAGCUAUUAUUUUAUUAAAACAUGUUUAUUGAAUUAUUCUUCUUAUUCAAACAAAAUUUUUAAUUUGUUCGAUAUCCAAUUCUGUACACAACAAGUAAAUAUAUGCAAACAAAUAUUUAUAGAAACUAAUAAAAAUAACUGUACACAACAAGUAAAUAUAUACAAACAAAUAUUUAUAGAAACCAAUAAAAAUAAAACCAAAUAGAAGUGAGAAAUAAAACAUGUACUUAAACAAGCUUACAACAAGCUCAAUGUCUUCCUAUGACUUUCCGAGUCUCACUUUCUUUCAUUAAAUUUUAUGCUCCACGUACCAUAAAUCCGUACUCAACAAAAAAAAUUGUAGAAUUGGCCCAUGCAAAAACAAAAAUAACACAAAUGUAAAUAUCUAAAAAUGUAUAAAGUUCACAAUAGAUAUUCAAGGCCAAAUUCAAAUUUCAAAUUAGUCCAACAAAUUUCGUCAAUCAAAAUGGGUCCAAAUUAGCAAAUAUAACCCAACAAAAAUAUCUCACAUGUCAUAGGCUUUAAUAUAAAAUUUUCAAAUUAAUAACCAAAAUAUAAGUUCAAUUAAUCAAACCCAAAACAUGAUACAUUAAAGUAAAUCUCAUUAGGCCUAAACUUAAUAUCUCAUAAUUCAAGCCUAAUUUAAUAUAUAAACCUAAAUCCACAAUCAAAAUCAACUCACUUUAUGCUAAUCCCAAUUUACAAUCAAAAUCAAACAUAAUUUAAUAAGUAAAUAACUAAAUAAAUUAAGCAAACUCAAAACUCUCAAACCACUAUUGCAUAAAUCAAACAAUAAUAAAUAUAAUAAAAAUAAAAUAAAAUAAAAUAAAAAUAAAAAAUUUAACUCACGUUGGAGCCAGUUUGAGUGUCGUGGGAAAGAAAGACAAUGAGAGAAAAGUGGGAGAUGAUUGUUAGCUGGUAGUGGUUCGCCCGCGGCGACUGGUCGAUAGUCCUACCAACGGUAGUGAGGAUUGAUGAGUUUUGGGGAAAGGAAAAAAAAGAGGAGUAGUAAAAAAAAAAUGAAGAAAUGAGAGGAAGGUGGGAUAAGAGGGGAGAAAGAGAAUUAAGAAAAUAGGGGAAAAGAAAUGAGGCUGGCUGGAGGAGAAAAUGGCAGUGUGUGUGAGCUAAAGUGAAGAAGAAUGAAAGAAGAAGAAAGAGAAAAAUGGGGAAGAAGGAGAAAAAAAUUCGAGCCCCCUAAAUGAAGAAAGGUGAGUAGCCUAAAGAAGAAGAAAAAAUAAAAUAAAAUAAGAAAAAAUGAGGAGAAAAUGAGAGGGCCAAUAGUCUUGGGAAUGGGGUGGUAUGGGUGAGAGAGAGUGGACGGGGUUGUUGGGGAAGGUAUGGGAGAGAGAGGAGUGAUAAAAGAAAGAGAAAAAAAACAUAAUAAUAAUAAUAAUAAUCAUAAAUAAUAUAUAAAAUAAUAAAAAUUAAUAUUUAAAUGAUGAGUGGGUCCAAAAUGUUAUAUGUAAUUGGGAUUUAAUUUUAAGAGUAAAAUUGGACUAAAAAUUAAUGUAAAAAUAAAAUUGGAACAAAUUUUAGAAUCUACAAAUACAUUCUUUAAUCUUUCCACAACAUCAAUCUGAUCUAAAUGAAAUGCAAUAAAUUCUAAAAAUGAUACAAUCUUUAAUCAAUCCACAACAUCAACCCGAUCAAAACUCAAUGCAAUAUUGCUUAAUGGAGAGAAUCGUAAACUCCUUUUAUGAGAGGAAAACAAAACCCUUAACAGACCUUUAUGAGAGGAAAAUAGGAAAACAUAGAACUAAAAACCCUUAACGUAUUCACGAGAAUAAAAAAUUCUUAACACCUUAAUAAGAGGAAAACAAAGAAUUUGAACAAUCCUUAAUCCAUCAAAAGCUCUUAAUAUGAACGAGGGGAAAACAUAACCUUUAUUUUUCAGAUAGUUGAAUAAAGAAUCUAAAGAGAUAGAAUUUUUAGUUAUUAAGGAUUUUUUUAUAGAUGUCUAUUGAAAGUUUAAGAACUUUUAUGGAUAAGUGUUAAUUAAGAGACUGAAAGGGUACUUAGGAUUUUCAACUAAAAAAGUUAUAACAAUAUGAAUCGUAAGAACUUAAAAACAUCACCCAUCCAUAAGAGGAAUAUGGAAUGAGAGGUUAUUUUUUUACUUAUACAACAAUAAACUUUUUUGGAAGAGGUUUUUCUAAGUACAAAAAGUUAUGAAUAAAAAACCAUUGUUACGAUGAGUUAACUAAAAUAGAAUUAAUUUAGAAAAUAUCAAUAAAGUUGCAUGAAUUAUUAUCAUGAGUUAACUUAAUAAGAAUAAAUAGUAAUGAAGUUAAUGAAGUGAAUUUGGAUUGGCAGAUAUAUUUGAUGAUAAGAUUUUAUAAUAAUAAUAAAUUAUUAUGGCAGGAAAAAUAGGACAAAAUUGACCUUAUGAUAAGAUUUUUUUUAAUAAUAAAAACAUUAUUAUGGUAUGAAAAAAAGGGACAAAAUUGGCCUUUCCUUAAUUGUAACGGUUAAAUGGAAAUAAUGGGACAUGCGGUGGUUACAAGCCACCCCAAAAGGUAGGAAGAAUCUCCAACCCCCAUUCUCGGCUCCCUUAUCUUUUCCCUUACAACCAAAAAUCAACAACUAUCUUAGAAUGUCCUUCAGUCCACCAAAAUUCAACAACAACAAUUAUACAUUACAAUAAUGAAAACAAAAUUGAUUGAUCACCAGCUAACAUUAGGAGAUUAUAAGAUAAGGAUGUAAUUGCAAUUAUUGAAAUCACUUAAAGAGUAAAAAUUAGGAACAUGCUCACAAUAAAUAAAAUCACCUUAGAAUUAAAAAUUAGGGACAUGAUUAUGAUGACUAAAAUCACUCGAGAACUAAAAUGUUUUAGAGAUACAAUAAUUGAAAUCAACUGAAAAAUAAAUUCGGGAUGUGGUCGCAAUUAAUGUAUAUAUAAACAACCAAAUGUUGAAAGGAAAAACUAAUGAAAUUAAUAUGAUUUUCUUUCUAUGGUUAGAUUUCUCUUGACACCAAACAAAUGUAAGGAAGUUUAUAAAGGAAAAUUAGGUUUUGAUUCACUAAAUUAAAAUAAUAUAGAAAAAAGAUCUUCAAAUUUUAUAUAUCAGUUUUAUUUUUAUUUAUCUAAAAAAAAUUUAAAAUACAUAUAUUUUUUCAUAACUCAAAUAGUCAUUCCUCAAAUGCUAGUUUUACUUGUUAUGUUAAUAACACUAGUUAAUAAUUUUUUUAUUGUGAGAAUGAUUUAAGAUUAAUAAAAUAAGAAAUUUUUAAAACUAAAAAAGCAUUUAAAACUUUAAAAUUAAAAAUAUAAAAAUAAAACAAUAAUUUUUCAUUUAGUAAAACACGCCAGUAGAAAAUAUAGAUAUAGAGAAAGAGUUGGAAAUAAAAUAAGAGUUAAUAUUUUAUUUUUAAAAUUUUAUGUUUUUUAUUUUAAUUGUAUUUAAUUUUUAUGUAUUUUAGUUGUAAUUAUAUUUUUAAUUUUUAAAUUUUUUUUUAUUUUAUUGUUGAUGUAAACUAAUAAAUUUUUUGUUUAAUUAUAUAUAUAUAUAUUUUUAAAUUAGUGAGUAAAAACUCACUUUUUCUAAUUUAUAAUGUAUUUAUGGGAUUUUAUAAUAUAAGCAAUUUUUUUUUUUUGAGAAAGAGGAAAAAUCAACUUUUCAAUUUCCCUUAAUAAUUAUUAUUAUUAUCCAAUUUGGCUGAUUAUGAGAUUAGUUGGUAUCAUUACUAUAUCCAUUUGUUCUUAACCCUUCAUUAGAAUAGUAUUAGGAGUUGAACGUCAAUUGGAAUAUAGGCUUAUGGAAACAAAUCUAUCCAAGGAGGAAAAUGUCACGAUAUUUCGGCGAUAUAUCGCCGAAAUAUCGUGUAUCGAAGGGUUUAUAUUUUUUCGGUCCGGCGAUAUUUCGGUAUUUAUUGCGAGAAAUCGCCGAUUUCUCGCGAUAUAUCGGUGAUUUUUCAUCAUUGAUAUAUCGCGUGGUCAACGCGGGUCAACGAAAGUCAAACCCGCUACAGUGCCCGUCAACGGGUACACCCGCUUACCAUCUGGGCUAAAUUGCCCUUUGAUAUAUAAUAUGCAACAACUAUAUAUAUACUUAAAUUCAUUAUAUAAAGAAAAUAUAAGAAUAUUUUAAAGAGCAAAUUAAUUAUAAUUAUUUUAUAAUUAAAUGCAAUGGUGGUGUUUGUUUUUUUACUUAAUUCUAAAUAGAACCUUAAUACUUAAUAGUAUUAAAUAUUAGGUUGUUUGUUUUUGUAAUAUUUUAUUUCUAUUAAGUAUUAAAAAGUAAAAAAAACCAUUGUGUUAUUUUUUCUAUUUCGAAAAAGCUAUAUAUUUUGGCUUUUUCUAUUUAGUAAAAAGUUUAUAAUAAGUCAUGAAAAAGUAAAAAAACAAACAACCUAAAUUCUAAAACUAAAUGGUUUUCAGCAAAAAGCUAAAAAAACGAACACCACUAAAGUCUUUUAAUUAAUUACCAAAAAUAUAAAAAUUAUAUAAUUUUCUUCAUAAUGUUUUUAAUAUCAUUAAUAAUUAAUUAACUAUUAAAAAAUUAUAUAUAUAUAUAUAUCAUUAUUUAUUUUAUAUUGUUUAAUACAAUUGAAUUAAAUGGAUCAUAUUUUAAUACUAAUAUAUAUUUUAAAAUUAGACAUAUUAUAAUCAAAUAUCAUAAUAUUAUGUGUAAUUUAAUAAUAAAUGUACACUUAUAAAAUUCAUAUUUUUAUCGAUGCAUACGAUAUUAUUAUCAAAUAUGAUAAAUCAUGUUAUACAUAUAUCAAAAUUUUCAAUAAAAUAACUUUAAAAUGUCUAUUAUACUUUUAAUUAUAUUAUUAUGAGGUUUUCCUUACAUUUUCAUAAGUUUUUAACAAUUUCAUAAGUUUUCCGAUAUAUUCGAUAUAUCCGUAAAAUCAAAAUACCGAUAUAUCCGUGAUUACCGAUAUUUUUAUCCUUGAAUCUAUCCGAUUAGUAGGUUCUUAUUAUUUUCAAUAUAGACCCCGUAAAAUAAAUAGGGCAGCCCGUCCCUUUUGUCUGGAGGCAUCCUCCCAACUUAUUAAAGGUGAUAUGAGAUAAGACAGUGACAAAAUUGUCAGUUACUUCCCGACACCUGGCUCUCCACAAGCAAACCCAGUGAUCCAGAAAUUAAUUGGUACCUGGACACGUGACUACCAAACGAUUCGCUCACCCACCAUACCCAUGGCCUCAUGCCCCAUAUAUUUCCACAAACCUAGCUCAAUUUUCAUAGCCACCUUCACUGUCCUACACUCACUAAGCCAUGGCCAUAGAUACAAGCCUCUUGCUUGAGCUUGCUGCAGCAACUCUACUCUUCUUCAUCACCCGCUUCUUCAUUCGUUCUCUCCUUCUCAAAUCUUCCCGGAAGCUCCCUCCUGGCCCCAAAGGGUGGCCGCUCGUCGGCGCUCUUCCUCUUCUAGGUAACAUGCCUCAUGUUGCAUUAGCAAAGAUGGCCAAAAGAUACGGGCCUGUCAUGUUCUUGAAAAUGGGCACUAACAGCAUGGUGGUGGCCUCAACUCCCGGGGCGGCUCGGGCUUUCCUUAAAACGCUAGACAUUAAUUUCUCUAACCGCCCGCCUAAUGCCGGUGCGACACUCUUGGCCUAUCAUGCCCAAGACAUGGUUUUUGCGGAUUAUNNNNNNNNNNNNNNNNNNNNNNNNNNNNNNNNNNNNNNNNNNNNNNNNNNNNNNNNNNNNNNNNNNNNNNNNNNNNNNNNNNNNNNNNNNNNNNNNNNNNACCACAUAACCACCAUUUAGAUAUCUAUCCUUUUAUUUUUGGCAUGUGAACUUAUAGUGGGUGGCUGACCUUGAAUCCAAUAGUUAUCAUGAUAUAUAUGGCUGAAAUUAAAUCCAAUAGAAUCCAAUAUGUUUUCUUAUAUCUCAAGUUUCAAUCAAAAAAAUAUUUAUGAUUUGUUUUUAUUAAUUUGUGUCUUGUUUUCAAUUUAAUUAAUGAAAAUUUAUUUGAUCAAAAAGUUCAUUACAAACCAAUUUUAAAAAUCUAAUCCUUUAUUAUAUUUUGAUAUCGUUUUGAUAAAAAUGUCUUUAUUAUUAUUAUUAUUAUUUUUUUAUAAAAAUAAAUUUUUUUAUAAAUAUAUUGUAAAUAUUUAAAAUAAUUAAAAAUAUUUAGAUCAAAAAUCGAUUAUUUUUCAAACAAAAAUAUGAAAGUGAUAAAUUUGUAAAUAUGGGGAAUAUUUAAUCCUUUUAAUCGAUUAUUUCAUUAAUGAAGUGGGUAUAAUGAUGAACGCAGACUUGGUUUUGCUAGGGCAUGCAGAGGUUUUGCAAGAGAGAGAGAUCAUUUCUCGACUCUGAGAAAUCAAUCUCCUUUUGGCCCGGUGGCGGACUCCAAGUAAAGCCUUGAAGGAGCCUUGCUAACAUCCCUGCACACCCACGCCUUCCAGUACUGAAGGAAAUGAAGCGAAGGUUUGGCUCGUUCAACUCCACUGCUUGAACUGUACUAGCAUUCAGAUGCCGCUCUGGAUUGAAAUUUAGCGGUUCUUCCCAGAUUCUAGGGUUCCGGCCCAGCCCCAGACGACUCAGAAGGACAUGACUGACUUUGGGGAUAAAGCACCCAGCAACACUAGUCGGAUUCCUGAACUCGUCUAUCCUUUCCAACCACUCCAUCAAUUUCUUCACUGCUUUGCUCAAAAUCCCUGGUUGCUUGAUCAUUGCCUACUCAAUUGCAUUUGAUGGACUAUCGACGCCUGCAAGCAUCAACUCCUGCAAAUUAUGGAAGGAUCAUAAUCUGAUGAUUGAUCAAGUUAUUUGCUGGCUAGGAAAUGAUCAUCAUGCAAUGUAGAUCAAAAGGUAAGCACAACACUACUACAAAAAUAAUUUAUGGUGUCACUUUUAAAAUAAUGACACCAUAGGGUUUAUAAUUAAUAAAUGUGAUACAUCAUAUAAAAAUUCUUCAAUUGUGAUAGUUAGAUUAUGUUAGUUUUAUAUUUAUAGUGUCAUUUUUUGGGAAGUAACAUCAUAUAAAAUAAAAAUUUUUAAGUAUUAUAACUUAAUGAGCCCACUUGAGCCCACUUUUAUAAUUAAUAAUCAGGGAUAAUGUAUAAAAAGCCCAUUGUUUCCACAUGUCACCCAGAAUAAAAAAAAUCUUAGUAUACAAACCUUAUAUAUCUUCUUCUACCUUUUCUCUUACCCAUAAUCAACACACUCACAACCGACAUUUUCCACUUUGUGGACUCCCAGGUAAUCUAAAUUCUCUUAGAUCUAUCAUCUUUUUUCUUUUAUUAAUAUCAUUAUAUUGAUUGUUUCUGCAUCUUUGUAUUAUGGUUUUUGUGAACUGCGUUUUCUUGAGUUGUAGAGAAGAAAAACUUAGGUUUAAACUUCUAGUAUAGACGAAGAAACCUAUAGAUUAAUUGAUUUUUUAAUAUGAACCAAACACAUGACCGACUUCUUAAAAACAAGUGAAAAACAACAAAAAAUGAAUGAUUUUUAAUAUAUAUUUAUGUGAGAAUGACAGGUACAAAAUUUUAUUGAGAUAUUCUGCCACAUAAUCUUCAUCCCUUCCCUAAAAUGAGAGAGAGAGAAAAAAAAAAUAAUAAUUUUUUUUGUGUGUAUCUAAGUGGGAAUGAGAGAUAUAGAAUUUCGUUGAGAUGCAGUGCUGCCACAUGAUCUUUAUCCUCCAUUAAACCCAACAUAUUAAAUCCACUAACUCUCUCCCCAAAAACGAGUAAAAAAAAAAGGAAAAAAGUAUGAGUUAAAAAACAAAAACGGAAAAUAUGAUUUUUUUUUAAUGUGUUUCUAAGGAGAAUGAGAGACACAAAUUUUUGUUAAGAUGCAUUGCCACGUGUUCUUCAUCCUCUCCAUUAAGCCUAGUAUAUUAAACCUAAUAGCUCUCUCUUUUAAGCUUUCUAGUGAAGUGCCUACAGUAUCCAACUCAAAAUAAGACAACUUAAGCCCCAUUAGCCAACAAACAUGAGAAAAAAAUUAGUUUGUCAAACAUUGUCUAUUUGAAGGUCCUUGAUGGGUAUUGCUCAAAUUUUAGAAAUCUUGUCUCCUUAGAGGAAUUGAAGUUAUUUGGUUUAAGAUCCCAUGACUACCAUGCACUUAUGCAACAAUUGUUGCUAGUGGCAUUACAUUUUGUUUUGCCAAAGCAUGUGAGAUAUACUAUAUCAAGAUUGUGUAUCUUCUUCAAUCAAUUAUGUACAAAAGUGGCUGAUGUGCCAAAAUUGGAUGAGGUACACAAUGAGUUAGUGGUCACGCUGUGCUUACUUGAAAAGUAUUUUUCACCUUCAUUUUUUGAUAUUAUGCUUCAUCUAGCAGUGCAUUUGACAAGGGAGGUGUGACUAUGUGGUCCAGUUUACUUUAGGUGGAUCUACCCAUUUGAGAGGUAUAUGAAAGUUCUUAAAGAAUAUGUUCGCAAUCAUAAUCGGCCUGAAGAAUGCAUUACUAAGUGCUAUUUAGAAGAAAAAGCUAUCGAAUUUUGUACUGAAUAUUUAUUAGGGACUCAUGCAAUUGGAAUUCCAAAAGUAACAAUUAUGACAACAAAUUUGGUAGACCUAUAAUUGGUGGUCAUUCUACCAACAUUGAUCAUAAAUCGUGGUUACAAGCACAUCAUUAUCUGUUAGAGAAUACAACUAUUGUCCAACCAUACACUGAGUAAGAAAAACAUACCUUUAUCUUUUUAUAAUUUCAUAACAUAAUGAUGAAAUCCUAAGUUUGCAUUCCUUGUCUUUAACGUCAUAGGGAACACAUGAAUUGGUUGAGGUCUCAAUACCCUCGACAAUCUAAUAGACAAAUUUGAUUGCAAGAAGAACAUAUGAGUUGUUUUACAUAUUGGCUUAAAGAAAAGGUAAUCUCUUAGUUUUUAGAAAAUUUUUCAAUAUGUUGAAAACAUCACAAGUUUCCAAUAUGUUUUGAUUAUACACGGGUUGAAGAGGCUAUCCAUAAUGGGCAAGAUAUUCUCGACACGCUUAGGUGGUUAGCACAUGGCCCUACUCUCCAGGUAGUCAAAUAUCUUGGAUAUAUCGUUAAUGAGUGUCGUUACCAUACUAAGGAAUGCGAUAUGACAUGCAUCACCCAAAAUAGUGGUGUUAGCAUUUUAGCAAGGACUAUGCAAAUUACCAGUUCUAAGGAUAAGAACCCAGUUUGUGGUAAACUUUGCUUUUAUGAGGUCAUUAAUGAGAUAUGAGAUCUUGAUUACAACAUGUUCACAAUUCUAAUUUUCAAGUGUGAUUGGAUUGACAACAAGAAUGGUAUAAAAGUUGAUGAACUCGGGUUCACAUUAGUUGACUUCUCCAAAAUAGGUCACAAAUUGGAUCCAUUUAUUUUAGCAUCACAAGCCAAGCAAAUCUUCUAUGUUGAAGAUCAACUUGAUCCUAAAUGGUCAAUAGUUCUCUCAAUUCCUCCAAAAGAUUUCAAGAACAUAGAAGGACUAGAUGACUUCACCGAUAAUUGCAUGGUUCAUCACCCCUUUAUAAGUUCAAUGCCAGAAUUUGAAUCAUUUGAUGCUAUGGAUGAAUCAUAGGCAAUAUACAUGAGAGAAGAUUGUGAGGGCAUAUGGAUUGAAAAUAAUUAAAUAAUAUAUUGUACCCUUGAAUGAGAUAUAAUAAGGCAUUUCACUUAUUAGUUUUCAUGAGUUGCACAUUAGCUUAGCUUCUAUAUAUUGCUCAUGAUAUAUCUAUAUAUAUUAAUCAUCCUAAAUUUCUUUCAUGCAUCAUAAACAUAUGUUAUUCAAAGGUACCACUUCAAUCUUCAUUCAACUAUCUUUUUGUUGUCCAUGGAACUAGAUUUAUAUUAUUUUUUAUUAUCAUGUUUUGAUUUUAUGCUCACAUAACUUGAAACUCUCAUUCCUAAAUUUCUUUUUCAUUAAAACUAUAAAUUAGAAUUGAAACUAUGCAUAAUUUAUUUUAUUAUUAUCCUCACAAAUAAAUUCUUCAUUAUUGAUAAGAAAUCAAAAAACAAGACAAACUUUGAAAGAAAAUUUCAAAAUAUAUAUUUGUGAAUGACCAAUUUAAUUAUAGAAAAUAUAUGCAAGGCUAUACUAAUCUUGCUUUUGAGUCAUUUUACAGGUUUGUUGGUGAAGUACUAGUUUGCACAUUUACUUGAUAUCUUCCACACAAAUAUGGAUCUAGAAGAAGAGGAAAUGCAAAAAAUAAAGCAUAGAGGUAGUACAUUGAAACCAAAUAUUGCAAAAAAUCGAAGUAAAAGGAUAAAACUCAAGAUUGAAUACAAUAGCCUUGGUAGUCACAUUGAGGAAAAUUCAAUUGAACUAAGUAGUUAUCUUAGUACAAUAACUAGAACCCAUGUGCCAAUAAUUAUUGAGAGUUGGAGGAAAGUCCCUAAAGAGACUAAGGAGAAGUUAUGGGAUUUGAUCACAAUAAGUGUAUCUAUAGAUUUAAUAUAUAAUUAUUGUAUACAUUCAUUAACAUGAGCUAACAUGGGUUGCUAUUUUGUAGACAAGCUUUAAUGUGAAUAAAAAAUCCAAGAGGAAUUGUUUCAUACUAAUGGGCAUCAGGUUUCGAACCUUUAAGUACAAGUUGACAAAGAAAUAUAUAUUGUCUUUCAAGAAUGACCAGAAAAGCUGAAAAAGUCACCUCCUAUUUACCCAUUCAUACAAGAGGAUCAUUGGAGAUAGUUUGUUAAAGAUAGACUUUUUGAACAUUUUAAUGUUAAGCAUUAUUUUUAUUACAUCUUCAAUUUUCACAUUUACGUAGUUUUAUCAUGUACUAAUUUUGUGUCUAUAUUUUGUAGGAAUAUCACAAAGUUCAGAAAUCAAGAAGAGAUAAACACAUUUACAAUCAUUAUCUUCGAAGAAAAUGAUAUGCACGUUUUGAGCAGGAUAUAGUAAGUUAUCAAUAUCCAUAAAAAAAAAUGGAGUAUAUAUUUUGUUUAUAGGAAAAUGAUUUCAGUUUUUAAAUAUCAUUUAUUAACUUGAUCAUAUUGAACUAAUGAGUUUUAUUGUUAAAAAUUAUAUAGCUACAAGCAGAAGGGGCUAUUGGUAGGGUUGAUAGAAGUGUUUAUGAAAGAAAACAUGUGAGAAGAAAGGAAAGUUUAAUAAGAUUACAAAGCCAAUGAUUAACAUGAUAGUAAGUUAGCAUAUUUAUGCCUUUUAGAGCUUAUAGUGUUAGUAUGUUUGCCUAUAGUGUUAGUAUGUCUAUGUGAUUAUGGUUUGUGAUGAUAUCGUUAGGUGUUAAUAGGUAAGAGGCUUAAUGCUAUCAUUUUUAUGAGUAGUCAUGUUAUACUAGUGCAAAUAUAGUAGCCUAAUUUGAAAAUUAAUUUUGAAACAAUAUACAUUAAUUUAUCUAUUAUCAUUUUUAUUAAAACAAUUCAUUUUCUAGCUACCUUGAAUUGGUCCUCUUGAGUUGGUUGUCUUUGAUUGAUAUGUUAAUCAUCUUCAUCAAAUUAUUACUAAUAUAUGUUUUGUUGUAGGAUGAAUUACUAGAAAAGGCAAGGAGACUGGACUACCUCCACCUGGUCCAAAUGACAUAUUAUGUCAGGCAUUGGGUAAGCUUGAUCAUCUAGGACGUGUGGUAGGUCAAGACCGUUUGGUUAAGCCGAACUCAUACUUUCAUCAACCAUCUAAUGACAUGAAAAAAAAAAAUCAAAGAAGAAAUAUGGGAAAUGGUGUGAAAGGAGAUGCAAGAUGCUGGAACAAGACAAACUAUGUCUCCCCCCACACCCCAUUCUAAUAUGGGUAGUAAUAACAUGAGACAACAACUUGUUUUACAACUAGUUGUAGCAAAAAAACCAAUGUUUAAAAUGAUGGAAGAGCCCCAACCACCAAAACCACCAUUGAAAUGUAAGGUAUACAUUUACUUACUAAUAAUACAAGAUUAAUAUAAGUGAUAUAUAGCCUAUGUAAAUGAUAUUAUUUGUUGUAUUGAAGGUAAUUAAAUAUAAAUUAGCAGUGGAAUGAAAAUGAAAUGUUGUUGCAACCGGUACACUAAUAGAAGAAAAUUGAUCAAAUGGGUUGGUCGUAAUAAAUGUUGCACACAAGCUAGUUGCUAGACUCCCAUUUCCAAAUCCAUAUGAGAUUAUCAAUGUUGGGGAUGCUAUUGGCUUUAAGCUUGACUGGCCAACAAGCCUUGUCAUACUUGAAACUGAACAUCCUCAGGUAUGUCAUUUUAUACUUGUAGUAAAUUUGAUUGUAACUUGGUAUUUUAUUGUUUAGGAGUAUAUAUUACUAACAUUCCUUCCCUUUUCAUAGGUGUUGGAUAAAGGAAAGAAGUAGAUAGUGAAUGCACCAAGUAUUCGAAAAUCUAAGCCUCAAAAUCAUUCGGUCAUUAAAAAUUUUCAAAAAUUUAUGGAUGGUUGUCUUAGUAAUGAGAAGACAUACCUAAUACAGCUCCCCAUUUCACUAUUUGGUGUCGAAUUCCGAACAUAUAUAUCUAGAGAGGAUUGUGAAUACAUUAUUCCAUCUUUAGAGGUGUCAUCAAAAUGCAUCUCCUUCCAUUUAUGGUGUGCACCUUUUAUUUUCAUUUGUUUUUAUUUUUUUAAUAUGAGUUGCCCAUGUUGAACGAGAUUGGAUAUGACUAAUGAUAAUUUUCUUUUGGUGUUUUGAUAAUAUAAUAGGUACAUGCAUGAUCAACUACAUAUUGCCAAAAAGGAAUCACAAUUUAUAUUUGUUAAUCCUUUUACAAUAUCAUGAGCAGGCUUUAGUAAUCCUCAAACAGAGAAAAGAACACAAUUGUUGUCAAAACACUUAAUAGAGUGCCAAGAUGCCGGAUAUGUUUUCAUGUCCUACAACCUCAAGUAAGUGACGAAUAUUAUACUUUAAUUUGAGGUUUUAUGAUUGAUUUAUAUUUCUAAUUAGAUGCUACUUUUGUUUUUAAACGUUUUAGCUUUCAUUGGGGUUUUGGUAGUGAUUGAGCCAAGGAAAAUGAUAGUCCACUAUCUUAACCCUGUGCAUCACAAACCAUGUGAGGACUUAAAGGAUAUCGUAAACAUGUAAGUUCUUCCUAUUAUUUUUCAUAGUAUUAUUUAAAAAAAAAUUACAUUCACCUCAAACACAUUUUUUAUUAUUAUUUCUAUAUAUUAAAACAUAUAAAAUUUACCUAUCUUAAAAAUGUACCCAUUGAACUUAUUUACAUAGGGCUCUUCAAAUAUUUGCAAAGAAAAAAAAUUUUCUUUACACAUUUAGCUUAUGCAUUUGCACCAUUUAUAUAUAUGAGUACUAAUGUUAUUUUAUAACUGAUCGAUUAGUGUCCAAGACAAGAAAGAGGGUUCGAAUGUGGCUACUUUGUUAUGAGAUUCAUUAAAGAGACAAUUUUUUAUCCUACAAUUAUUGCUUCAAAGGUAUUACUUAUUUAAUGAAUUGUACAUAGUUUUAAGCUUCCAAAUGUUAUGCAUUUUAAUGUUAUUUUCUUAUUUGAUUUUAGUUUGGUGAUAAAAAAACAUAUUCUCAAGUAGAAUUCAAUGAAAUUAGAGGAGAAUGGACUACUUUUGUGCUACAACUAAUCAUGAAUCAUGUUGAUGCAUCAUGAUCACCAUGCAUGGUGAGUCCCUUAACUACUACAUGAAUUUUUCCAUAGAUAUUGUAUAGUAUUGCUUUUCUUUGAACAAUGUUUUUAUUUGAAAAAAAGAAAAAAAAAAAAAGUUCUUAGAUUUGUUCAUUUAUGAUAACAUCGAUCCAUAUUUAUUUUCUUCAAUGAAAUCUAUAAAACUCAUUAAACUAUGAAAUGCAGGUAUACACUCUUAGGAGGGUGGAAUAGAGAAUAAAAAGAACGAAGAAGGCAACAAGAUUUUGGGUUUUUAAAUGCAACUCGUAUGUCAUAUGUUGUAGGACAUAAACGUUACUUUAAUUGGUAGUGAGAAUUUUAGAUUUUUAGAUGCUACUUUUAUGUCAUUUUAUAGUUAGUCGGUUUUAUGCUUAUGAAAUGAAGGUAUACAUGAAUCUUGGGAUGCUUAACAUUUCUAAAUCAUGUUUUGGUAUUUAUUCACUCUUCUUUUUUAGUUUUGGUGGGUUUGAUAUGUUGGAUGUACUAUCUUUUUGUGAACAUUUGAUAGACAAAUAUUAUUAGAUGAUCAAUGUAUUACGAGUUAUUCCAUAAACAUUACCGAAAAAUGAGUUAAAUGUAAUAUGAUUGUUAUAUUUAUGGACAAAAUAUACACAGGUUAAUCCUAUUUGUUAAUUCAUAAGUAUUACAAAAAUCUACAACUAAAAGCAAUCAUAUCUUCCACGAUAAUUUACAAUGAUGUGACACCAUAACUCAAAGGUGAUGCAUUUAAUGUGACAUCAUAACUCAAAGAUCAUGCAUUUAAUGCGACAUCCUAUCAUCACUAGAAAUAUAUGAUGUCACUUCCGAAUGUGUCACCAUUUAUCUACUUUGGUGUCACUUACAAAUACGUCACCAAUUGGUACCCUCUAUGGUGUCAGUAGAGAAGGUGACACUAUGUUGUAGUGACACCCUAUGUUUAUGGUGACUCGUUAUAAAUGUCACCAUAUAUCUUUUUCCUUAUAGUGAAAAUUACUUAUCUUACUAUGCAUUGGGCUUUGAUAUUAGCCAGAGACAGUAGUGGCUCCUAAUUUUUAUCCUUAUUAAUUUUUAUCCUUAAUUGAAAUGAAAACGUCAAGCAGGUCCUCAACCUCUUUUUCGCCAUUCUUCCAUUGUUCUACUAUUUGGUCCACGAUUGGAUCAUGGUACUUGUUAAUGGUGUUCAUAGCCUCCCUUAUAGUCUUUUCAUGGCCAUCUAAAUUCAGUACUCUCAGCCAUGGGAAGUAAUCAGAUAAAGAGAAUACAUAUAGAUGAGCAAGUACAGUAAAGAAGGAUUCAACAUGUUGCUCCUCUUCAACUCCAGGGCCUCCAUCUUUCUUUCGUUGGCUAAAGUAUCUUGUGUUGAGGAUCAUCUUCCGGAUGAAAUUCCUGCUGUAUUGACGGAUUGUAUUUCUGUCACACCCCAAAUACUAGGCAACCCAGAACUUGACUCGUGACCCCAGGUCAAAGGUUUGACCUUAAGAGUUACUCUUAUCCAUGUUGGCAAUCAAUUAAAACACCUUAAAUUUUUUUCUUCAAUAAAGCGUUUAAUCCUAAAUAAAUUUAUUAAGCUAAGAUUUACUAUAACAUAUUAUUUUAUUUUUCCAAAACCAACCAUCACAUUAUCUUCUGUUCACAAGUAUUAAAAAAAAAAAAAAUUCCACCAAUCAUCUUCCUACCCAAAAACUCAAAUAUUUACAAUAAUUUCUAAGUCAAAAAGAAUAUUUCCAAAAAUGUUUUACAAACUAAUAAAAUAUAAUUUAACUUAAAAAAGUCCAUAUAACUCAAAUUAGUAGAUGUCAAAAGGUAAUUAAAAAACAACAACAACCAUUAUUAUGGUUUUUUUGCUUUUUAGAACACUUCAUGAUCUUCUUAUAGUCCCUCAGAAACUAUAUCUGCAUCUAAAAAUUUUAGAAAAUAAAGGGAUGCACAUUUCCACGUUACUAUUUAGACCUAAAUGGGUUAGAAAUUCUAGGUCAAUAAAACACAACCAUAUGCCAAAAUAUAAUAUUACAUUUACAUUAUACACACUAAAAGAAACCUCAACCAUACAAAUUUAAAUCAAUCAAAAUUAUCAUUUUCCUUAUUUAAUCAUAUGUUUAGCAUAUCAAUAAUUUUAAAUUUACAAAAUAAAUAAGUCACUUUAGUCUUGAAUAAUAUAUUCAAACAUACACUUGAUAAAUAAUACAAAUCAUUCUUCCAAAUGCAACCAUAAUACAAAUGCUUACACACAAUCAAGCAAUGCAAUAUCGUUCUCGGGCUUUCACCGAAGGAUACGCGUUUAUACCCAAAUACACUCCCCAUUCGGAGUCUUCCUAGGGUAAACUUUUGAGUCUUUCACCCUAAGGAACUCACUCACUUCUUAAUUCACUAUCUCUAGGGUCAUUCAAUUUCUUAUUUUUCUUUUCUUUUCAUUUUUGCCAUUUUUGGGGUCUUUUCAUUCUCAUUUUCAUUUCACACAACCAUUUCUUUAAUUUUUAUUUUUCUUCACACAAUCAUGAUGCAUAUGAAAUGCAAAUGAAUCAUAUUUUAAUAUCCAUAAUUUUCCAAGACAUAAUUUUAUUUACUCCCAUUAUGUUUCAUAAUUUCCAAUAAUCCACACAACGAUUUUUCUUCACUUUAAUCAUUACAAACAUAAAAGAAAAUUCACAAUUAAUUUGUAUAGCAUCAAAACAUAGUUUUAAACAUUAACUACAUAAAUUCUAUUUAUUCCCGACAUGCUUAAUAAUUUCCAAAUCCAAUAUAACCAUUUUUUUCAAUUAAAUAACCACACAUAUCCAAGAAAAUUCUCACUAAUACAAAUAUCAACGAAAAUGUAAUUUAUGUCAUAAUUUAUUUGUCUCCAAUAAUUUCAAAAAUUUUGACACCCAUAUGAUAAUUUUCCACAAUUAAGCCACCCUAACAUUUGGGAAAAAUUUUCCAAUAAUUCAAAUAUCAACAAAAACCCAAUUUAUAUCAUCAUUUUAUUUAUUUUUAAAAGCAUUAAUAAUUUUAAUAAUCAAUACAACACUUUUUCACAAUCAAGCCACCACAACAUUCUGGGAAAUUUUUCCAAUAAUUCAAAUGUUAACAAAACACAAUUAUACCUUAAUUUUCUUAUCUCCAACAACAUCAAUAAUUCUUAGUACUCAAUACAACUAUUUUUAUUUUUUCAUAUUUAAUCUUCUCAAACAUUACCAAAAUUCCAAGAAAAAUCCAUAAAAUCACGAAAUAAAAUUAUUCACAAUAAUAAUCACACUUCAAAUACUACAAAUAACAUCUAUUAUCUUUCAACAACACAAUAUAUAAAUUUUUUUCAAAGAAAAUAUUAAAUCAAAGUUUUAGGGUUAAAUCACCUUACCUUAAAUUUGAAAAAUUUAACCGUUAAAACUAAAAUAGGACACCGUAGGAGUGUUCCUCGCAUUGAAUAGAAUGUCCUUCCAAAAUUUCACGCGAAAUGGACGUCAUUUGGUAGGUCCACCAGCAUCCUAAAGCUGGCGACCCAUUUUUCCCACUCUUUGUCGACGACUCCCUUACAUCUCUCACUCGAUUUCCUUUCUUCAUUUUCUUUUCUUCUUCUUCUUUUAAACUCCCAUGACAAUUUCACUUUAUAUAUAUAUAUAUAUAUUAUUAAAACAAAUCCUAAAAUACCACGCACAUCCAUUUCUUAAUAAAUUAAAACCAUUAUUCUUAAAUUCACCUUCUGUAAUUAUGAAUUAUACCAAACUUAUGAUUUUCCAUCUCAUGAAAAAUACCACCGUAUUCGUAAUUUAAUUUACUACAAGCCUAUUCUUCAAAAAGUAUAAUUUGAUUAUAAUUACAUGAAACAUUGAUUUUUUACUCUAAAAUUAAUUUAAAACAUGAUAUAAUUAACUAUUAACAAAAUUCAAUUCCAUAAAAAUAUUAAAAACAUAAAAUAAUUUUUUGGCAAUCAAGAAGUUGAAAUUUGUAAUAACCCUUAACCCGUUAAUUUUACCUAUAUUUAUUUACCAACAAAAAUUUAAAUAAUAUUCUAAAAUUUAAUUCCAUAAAUUAAUUAGUCAUUCAAUUUAUAAAAAUCAAAUUCUCUACCCUUUGGUAUAACUUUUAUUUAAUUUACUUCAUUUUUCAAAUUAUUCAAUCGCAUCAAAAUUUCAAAAGUUAAAUUCACUAAAUUCACAUUUAAUUAAUUUAUCCUUUUGUAUUUUUUUUUCUAAAUUCGCAUAUCAUAAUUUAAUCUUAAUUUAAUUUUGAUUCAAUUUUGUUUGAUGUUUUCUAAUUUUAUGAGGUUUAAUUCCAAUUAUAAAAAUUAAAUUCAAUUUCUUUUUAAUUAUCCAUUAUCACAAUUUGAUAUAAUAUAAAUUUUUAUCAAGUUUUUCUUACUAUGAUUUUUCUUAUAAUUAUCCAAUAAUAAUUAAAUUAAUUCUCGUAACAUAUUUAAUAUUCAAAUUUUAAAAACUUAAUCUCAAUUAUUUGAUGGUUAAUUUUUUUCUCAAAAUCUAAAUUUAAUUUAUGAAAUUCUCACUCCUUACAUCUGACGUGGCAAAAUUUUCAAACUAUUGACUUUUGACCAACUUUUCCUAAAUUUAUCCUAAUUAAAUACUAACACAUGGAUUUUCACCACUCUUUUUGACCUUUUGACCCACAAAUUUAUGAAAGACUUUAUGCUUGGAGAAUCUACAAAAACCUGGGUAUUACAAUUUCUCAAGUUGAUAACUGUCGUGGUUAUGAAGCCACCACUUGAAUACUCAGUCGCCAUUGUAAUGGGCCUGGAUGCAAAUAGUACAUCAUGUUUCUUCAAAAGUUCUCUGCUAAUCUCUGGGAAAGUCGCAGGGACGAGAUGAAAUAUUUCCCAAUUGAAUACAUGCAAUUUCAGUGUUCAUUUCUUUCAUAAAGCCAAUGUAUCCACCAGAAAGUUGUCUUGUUGUUGAGUAAAUGAGGUAGAUAUUGCACUAGUGGCCAUGGAGCUAAUGCUAGAGGAAAUUGUAUUGGCUUGCUUUUGGUACUUGUUUUGGAUUUUAAUUUAGUGAAGAUGAGAAAGAUUGAUGUGAUGAAAAGCAGCAAGAGGAAGUUGAGAUGAGACAACACAUCGUCUGUGGUAGUAGAAGAAAACAAGGUUGAGUUACUGCUACUACUCUCUACAACAAAACCAUUUACACGUCUUUUAUAGAAAAACCAUGUUUGUCUUGUCUUGGGUCUGGAUGCACAUUUUUAAUAUUGGGGAAAUCAUGCAACCAAAUGUCACACACAAAGAGAGAGAGAGAAAAAAUACGUUUUUUAGAACUUGAAAAGGUAAAGUGGGAAAAAAAUAUUACCCAUUCUUGAACUCUAAAAGUAAAGUUAUAAAAAGCUUAGUUUUUUUUUUUUUUUUUGAUUAUGUAUGAUUGCAUGAUUUCCCUCUUUUAAGAUUUUAUCUCAUAAAUUUUUUUUUCUAGAAGGUUCAAAUAAGUUUGAUGAAUAUUGUUUAUUUUUGUAAUUUGAUGAAGAUUUUUUAUUUUAGUAAUUUUAAUUUUAUGGGGUACUUAAAACAUUAGAAGUUCACAAAAAACAACAUUUAUAAGCUACCUAUCUAAAAAGUUUGGCCUAAUCAUUGAAAUCCAAAAUAUAAAGUGACAACACACUUUUUAAAGCAAUUUUCAAAAUAGUUUUUAAAAACACAUUUAUGAUAUUUUUAAAAUAAAAAUCACAAAAAUAACUUGUUUAUAUAGCAUUUUAUUAGACAAAUACUUGAUCUUUAUAAGAUCACCCUAAUUAUAGAUUUAUGAACAUGUAACACAACAAUUAUCUAUAUAUAUAUACUUAGAAUUAUUAUAUUUUAAGUUUUUAACUACAUAGGACAUCAUGAGUUUUUCCACCAUUUAUCUUAUAAUAAGUUUAUUUAAAUAUGAUAAAGGAUAUAUUAUCUCAUUUCUUAUUAUAUCUUAUGCUAUAUAUAUAUAUAUAUAUAUGUAACAAAUCAAAUACAAUUUAAAGAUUUUAAUUAACCAUCUAUUAGCAACAAAGCAAUCUCUUAAUCUCAUUCAUAAUAUUAGGAUAAUUUAGUAUUUCCUUUUAUAAAACCCUAGCAUAUAAAUCAACACAAAUCAUAUUAAGGGUGUAUUUGGUGUUGAUUUUAGGAAGCGUUUUUAGUAUUUCUAAUACUUGAAAGAUAAAAAUUUUCAAGUUUUAGAAAGAUCAAAAGUGCUUUUUAGAAUGACUAUCAAAUACACGCUAAAUAUUACUUUGAAUACUUAUAUUUUUAAAUAACUUUUAAAACUUUUAAGGCAAGUCUCUACUAUUUAUAUAAAUCCCCUAUUAUUUUUAAUUUUUAGAAACAAAAAAUAAAGAAUAGAAACUCCAUUUAAACAUCACCUUAUUAUUUCCUAUUAUAAAAUAACACAAAUCAAAUGAAUUAUUUAAAAAUAAAUAAAUAUAAAAUCAAAGUUGAAGAGAAAAACUCUUGUGCAUUAAAAAAACAUCAAAAUAAAUAAAUAAAUAAAACAUCAUCAAAUAAAUGUAAAAAUAAAAUAAUGUUAUGGAAAAAUGAGAAUAGGCAACUAGAAAAUAGAAACACAAAUUUACAUGAAAAAUCCUAGAUGAGAAAAACCAUGGAUAGAGGAGAAGAAAAUCCACUAUAUUAAAAUUUUGGUAUAAAAUGUGAGAGAAUCAAGCGAGUAUUGUAUAGGCAUAAUCACUAUGACCCUAAAUCCUAUACAUCAUCGUAUAUGUAUGGUGUAUGCGAUAAUAUUUGUGAUAAUAAAAUUAUUGUCGCAUAAAAUAACUAUGGGAUGUAAUAUUUGUAAUAAUAUUCUUUACAAAAAAAUAUUUUUUUCUUUGCUUUAUUCACUUUGAUCACAACUUGAAAUAAGACAAUAAAAAUAUUUUCUUAAUUUUUGAAAAUUAAUUGAGGACUUAGAGCUGCUUGUUACCGAGUGAAUUUGAUGAAUGGUGAAGAAUGCAUGUAUAGUAGUUUUGCAAUUUUUCAGACUUGUAGACAUAUUUUGUGAAGUCUUUUUAUCUUUGUAAAGCCCCAUUUUCUAUGUGAAGUUAUUUUUUCAAUAUUCUCUUUGGAAGGAAUUUACCAUUAGUUAUAUAGGUAAGAUUAAGGAAUUAAAUUUGGAAUUCUUAAGAUUUGAUUGCUUAAUUCAAAGAAUUUGGUUCAAGGGAAAUUUGCCAACAAAAUAAUAUUUAUUUUUAAUUCUAUGAUGACUUUAAUUAUUUGAUAUAAUUUUAUUUUGAAAGGCUUGAUGUGGGGGACUCAUCACUUAUUGAGUCCAAAUUUUGUUGCACCCAAAUUUUUAUGAGCUAAGAAACCAUAAUUUUAAAGACCAAUUCAGUGGUAAGUGAAUCUGCUAAAAUCUUCUGUGUACAAAUGACCUCACUUCAAGGUGCAACACGUACAUGUAUUAUUAUGUGUAUGGGAUGAGUCUUGAAGUUAGUCUUCAUUCUUCUUUGAUUUUUUUUCUUCAAAUAAAUAAAUAAAACAUCAUCAAAUAAAUGUAAAAAUAAAAUAUGUAUUGGUUAAUUGGAGAUGAGAGCUUUAAGGGCAUUUCUUCUAUAAAAUUCUAUGCUCCACGUACCAUAAAUUCGUAUUCAACCAAAAAAAUUGUAAAAUGGGUCCAUGUACAAACAAAAAUAGCCCAAAUGUAAAUAUCUAAAAAUGUAUAAAGUUCACAAUAGAUAUUCAAGCCCAAAUUUAAAUUUCAAAUUAGUCCAACAGAUUUCAUCAAUCAAAAUGAGUCCAAAUUAGCAAAUAUAACCCAACAAAAAUAUCUCAUAUAUCAUAGGCCCUAAUCUAAAAUUUUCAUAUUAAUAGCCAAAAUAUAAGUUCAAUUAAUCAAACCCAAAACAUGAUAAAUUAAAAUAAAUCUCAUUAGGCCUAAACUUAAUAUCCCAUAAUUCAAGCUUAAUUUAAUAUAUAAACCUAAAUCCACAAUCAAAAUCAACCCAAUUUAUGCUAAUCUCGAUUUACAAUCAAAAUCAAACAUAAUUUAAUAAGUAAAUAACUAAAUAAAUUAAGCAAACUCAAAACACCCAAACCACUACGACAUAAAUCAAACAAUAAUAAUAAUAAUAAUAAUAAUAAAAACAAAACAAAUAAAAUAAAAAUAAAAAUUUUAACUCACAUCGGAGCCAGUUUGAAUGUCUUGGGAAAGAAAGAAAAUGAGAGAAAAGUGAAAGAUGAUUGACAACUGAUAGUAGCUCACUGGCGGCGACUGGCGAGUGGUCCUGCCGAUGGUAGUGAAGAUUGAUUGGUUUUUGGGAAAAAAAAUAAAAUGAAGAAAAGAAAAUGAGGAGUAAUAAAAAAAAUGGAGAAAUGAGAGGAAGGUGGGAGAAGAAGGGAGAGAGAGAAUGUAGAAAAUGGGCGAAAAGAAAUGAGGCUAGCUGGAGGAGAAGUGGUAGUGUGUGUGAGCUAAAGUGAAGAAGAAUAGAAGAAGAAAAUGGAGAAAAAAUGGAGAAGAAUGGGAAAAAAAAUCUGGCCCCCUAAAUGAAGAGAGGUGGGUAGCCUAAAGAAGAAGAAAAAAUAAAAUAAAAUAAAAUAAAAUGAGAAAAAAAUGAGAGGGGGUCGGUGGUCUUGCGAAUGAGGUGGUAUGCGUUAGAGAGAGAGAGUGGGUGGGGUUGUUGGGGAAGGUAUGAGAGAGAGAGGAGAGAGAAAAGAAAAAAAAAAGAAAAAAAAAAGAUAAUACAAAAUAAUAAUAAUAAUAAUAAAAUAAAAUAAUAUACAAAAUAAUAAAAACUAAUAAUUAAAUAGUGAGUAGGCAAAAAAUAUCAUAUAUAAUCGGGAUUUAAUUUAAAGAGUAAAAUUGGGACAAAUUUUGGGGUAUACAAAUAUGCGCCUCUUCGGUAGAGUUCACGAGUAAAGCAAGUGUAUAUGUGGGCGAAACAAAGUGGGCUCUACUGAAACACAAGAAAGAGCACCAAAUUUGUCUUAGUAUGACAUGAACUCUCCCAAAUCAAAACAAAAAAUAAAUAAAUAAAUAAAAUUAAAAAAAAAAUCUAAAGCCCUAUAAAAAUGGCGAAAACGGAAACUCCUAAGGUGUCUCUAAAGUUAUACUAUGGAUCUAGACUCCCUUAGAAAAGCCUUCAAAAAUCGGUGUCAAAAUUAAGUAGCAAUCAGACCACUAAGGAGCACAUGAACAAAUGCAUACAAAGGGAAAAAAAACCAUACGUGUACCAUACGAGGACAAAAGGCAUAAGGUAUCCAACAAUAUGACUGAUUCACGUGUUACGAGCUCAAAGGACUUUGUCAUGCACCAUGGAGGAGGGGAAACUCUAGAAUAAUGUGAUGAGGAAGUUAUUAGCACAAUGUAACAGAGUAAGGAAAAGAGUGACGAGUGCAAAGCUGUGAGGAUAAGGUGCACAAUGCUAAUGAAUAUGAAAUGAAUAGUAUUAGGCUAUGAUGCAAUGAAUAGCUUAGGGUUGUACCAUAAUGAACAGGUCAAGGAUGUGUAAAGAUGAGGAACAACUUAAGGUUGUAAUGCAAUGAACAACUUAGGACUGUGAAUGCAAUGAACAGCUCAAUGCAAUGAAUGCAAUGAAUAGCUCAGGGCUGUUAAUGCAAUGAACAACUCGAGGUUGUGGAUGCAAUGAACAACUCAUGGUCAUGGAUGCAAUGAACAGCUCAGGGCUAUGGAUGAACAGCUCAGGGCUGUGGAUGAACAACUCAGGGUUGUAGAUGUCAUGAACAACUCAAGAAUAGGGGCACUAUACACCCAAAAGGGGCGAUCAUGGUCUACGAUUCCAAGUCAAACCACUAAAAGGUGACCAAAAUGAGGGUGAUCAACUCACUAAAAAAGAUAAUCAAAAUGUCUUAAGGGAUGGGAGAUGCCCUAGAUGAAACUUAAAGGAAAUGAGUAGCACUAAUGAAACUAAAAAAAAAAAAAUGUCACAACUGAAAUUGAAAAAAUAACAAACUUAGAUUAAAGUACAAUGAACAACUUUGGGCUAUGGAUGUGAUGACUAGUACCGUGUUGUAAUGAAAUGAAUAACUCUAAGAUAUGGGCAUUAUACGCCUAAAGAGGGAGAUCGUGGUUUACAACUCUAAGUCAAACCACUAAAAGACUACUAAAAUAAGAUGAUCAACUUACUAUAAAUGAGAAUGCAACUAUCUUGAGAAAAAGGGUAUGCCCCAAAUGACACUCAACAGUAAAAGAAUGACACAAAUGAAACUAAAAUAAGAGAAUGCCACAAAUGAAACUGAAAUGAUAACAGACUCAGAACUAAUAUGCAAUGAACAACUUUGGACUGUGGAUGCAAUGAAUAGCACUGGGUUGUAAUGAAAUGAACAACUCUAAGAUGUGGGCAUUGUACGCCUAAAGAGGGAGAUCAUGGUUUACAACUCCAAGUCAAACCGCUAAAGGGCAACUAGAAUAGGAUAAUCAACUCACUAAAAAUGAGGAUGCAACUAUCUCGAGAAAAGGGGUAUGCCCUAAAUGACACUCAACAGUAUAAGAAUGACAUAAAUGAAACUAAAAUAAGAGGAUGCCACAAAUGAAACUAAAAUGAUAACAAACUCAAAACUAAUGUGCAAUGAAUAACUCUAGGUUGUGGAUGCAAUGAACAACACUGGGCUGUAAUUGAUUCGUCCCUAGCAGCGGCAGUGGCAACGGCACCAUUUGAUUCGAGGUUCGAUCCCCGGCAACGGCGCCAUUUGAUUCGUGCCCAAUUGGUGUCUCAGCUGAUUCGUGUCCAGCUGGUGCUCCUUGAUUGAGGGAUUAAUCAACAAAAUUUAUAACCUAUAACACCAUAUACUAGGGUAGCAAAGACAAAGCUACUAUAGUAUAGUGGCUCUAGGAUCGUUCACUGGGAUGGGUUUUCACUUCACAAAUGAUAUCAAUUCAAAGCUGAAUUGGUGCCUUUUCAUUUCAAGGUUAGCUUUAAAAGAAAACAUAAAGAUGUUUGAAAGAAAAGAAUUUGGUUUUAAACUAACCAAAAGUAGUAACUGAUUUUACUUAUAAAGAAAAGUGUUUCUUGGAGUUCAGAUCACUAGGCUCAGAUUCCUCAUACAAAAAAGGAAUUCCGGUCACUUGUUUCUUUUCCUCGCAUUAGAGAUUCAACUUAAAGUUAAUUCUCUAACCGGUGUUGUACAGAAGCUUCCCAUUAAUGGGUUNNNNNNNNNNNNNNNNNNNNNNNNNNNNNNNNNNNNNNNNNNNNNNNNNNNNNNNNNNNNNNNNNNNNNNNNNNNNNNNNNNNNNNNNNNNNNNNNNNNNUUUUUCUUUUUUUCUUUUUUUCAAUUUUUCAAAAGACUCAUUGGUCUUUAUGAGGGGUCCCAACACUAUUAAUGAGAGGUUAAAGGUGUCAAAUUAUGAUUUCUCAAGCUUAGAGGGUGAGAUAGUUUCACAUCUUAUAACCGGAAUCUAAUGUAUGUGUGUGCGAAUAGCUUAAGGUGGAAGAGAUAAGUUUGCAUGCAAUGGGAGUUUCAACAAUUCAUCAACUUUUAAAAGAGCAUAAUACAAACUCUAAGACUCCUGUAAUCAAGUUGAAACUCGACUUCUCUCAUUUAAUUUUGAGAGUUAAUCCUUAAUAUCCAUGGAGUUUAAAGCAAAAAUUUUAAAAUUUAAGCAAAAAGCAACUAAAUUACCAAAAUAACUUAGCAUUAUUAACAAUACUUACUUCCUCAACUCUCCCCCCAACCAAGCUGAACAUUGUCCUCAAUGUGACAAAAGCGAUUAAAAAAUAGGGAGGAAGUGGUACCUCCUUAGUGACAUGGAGUCUGAGUCGUAUAGGAGAAACCACAUGUUUCAAAGAAAACAUAAGAGUUAGUGAGUAGAGGAAAUAGGAAUAUGCCAAGUUUAAACAAAAAUGAUGUCUAUGUAUGAUGUAUCAUCAGUAAUACAUCCAAUCCCAAAAUAUAAGACAUCAAAAUAUGGAAUUAUCUAUACUAAUAUGUAAAUACAAAAAGUAAAGAGAUGAUCAAGUAGUGGUAAGGUCCUGUGGAGCUGAUGCGUCUGUGAUGGCCUCUUGAGUGGGUUGGAUCAGGACUUUGGCCUCUGUUCAGGUAGUCUCCUUAGAUGGCAUAGUCUCCUCAACUGGAGCUCUCAGCUGGUAGCUAUGGGAUUUGAUGGUUUAAGGAGGUCAGAAAUGGAGUGAGAGGUUUGGUGUGUGUGAUCCCAGGGUGUGCAGGGCUCUCCUCUUCAGAUGCAUGAUCGUAGGGCUCUGUUGGCAUUUUAGCAACUUCCCUUGGCUUUGCAAGGUGUUUUUGCAAACCUUCCUUCCAUUUUGCAAGUCAAUUUUGCAAUUUGCAGGCCAUUUCUAAGCUUGGAGGUGAUUUCGCAACCAUUUCAAAGCUCAAAAGUGAUUUUGCAGGCAAUGGGCAAUUUCGCAGCCCAUUUUUGAAGCUUGGAGCAUUUUCGCAGCCAUUCUGAAGCUUGGAGAUCAUUUCGCAUCCAUUUCAAAGCUCAAAAGUGAUUUCUCAACCCAAAAUUGAUUUCGCAGCUCAUUUCAUAGCCAUUUCGUUGCUCAAAAGUGAUUUCGCAGCCGUAUCGCAGCUUCAAAAUGAUUUCGCAGCCGCGAAAUUCUCGCUCAACUUUGCGCGCUUGUUUUCAAACGACCAUAACUUCUUCAUUUCACCUCCAAAUCGCAUACCGUUUGAAGUUCUGGACUCCUGACUUCCCAAGCUUUGAAACAAGAUAUGGUAUGCAUAAUUUGAGCUCCAGAAAGUGCUUCAAAAACGUGUCCAACAGUAGCGAAAUUGAGGUGCGACAUUUCCGCUCAUGGUUUGUACAGUCUUCUUCAAACAGCCAUAACUUUUCCGUUUCAAAUCCAAAUCGAGCACCGUUUGAAGCUAUGGACUCGUGACUUCCCAAGCUUUCCAACGAGAUAUUGCAUGCAUAAUUUGAACUUCGGGAAGUGGUCGAAUCAUGUCCAACAGUUUCCGAAAUGGGGUGCGGCUGUGAAAUUGGGAUUUUUCAUGUUUUGGGACUUCGCAGCCGUUUCGCAGCUGCGAAAUGGGAGUCACUGUGCUGCGGAAUGGCACUCGUGUGCCAAAACCGCCUUCGCAAUUGCGAAAUACCCUGCGGAAUGGGACUUUUGGUGCGAAAUCAGGCUUUACCACUUCGCAAUGCGUUUCGCAGCUGCGAAAUGGAUGCUCCUGUGCUGCGAAGUGGCACUCGUGUGCCAAAAUUGGUUUCGCAGCUGCCAAAUACCCUGCGGAAUGGAGCUUUCUCUGCGAAAUGGAGGAUUUCAUGCUUUGGUGGUUCGCAGCCGCUUUCGCAGCUGCGAAAUGGGGGCCACUGUGCUGCGAAGUGGCACUCGUGUGCCAAAUUUGGUUUCGCAGCUGCGAAAACUUUCGCAGAGAGGGCAAUUGGGUUGCGAACUGGUUUCGCAACAAAAUUUCGAUUUCGCAGAGGCUGCGAAAUCUCGCAGACCCCUGUUUUUCCCCUGUUUCUCCCCUGUUUUCGGUCCGUUUGACUCUGAUUUUGCUCCGAUUUUGCUCCGAUUUUUUUCCUUCAAUUUCUUUGCAAUUCCUCUUGAUUUUGAUCAUCCAAAAACCUAUAUUACAUCAAAACAAACUAGAAUUAAAGCAUUGAAAUCAAAAUUAAAGCAUUGAAAUCAAAAUUAAAACAAGUAAAAAAACAAAACAAAAAGAUAUGGACUAACUAGUCUUUAAAAAGACUAAGUCCAUCAAAAAAUUUGAUCCUGAUUUAGCUUGCCCGGAUCCCAUAUGAAGCUUGCAUCUCUCACUUGGGACGUGAUUUGUAUGAUUUUCCCAUACAAAGCUUGGAGAAAAGUUAGAGGCAUGUGUUUCAUCAUCAAUUCUUCCUUGAUGACUAUCCUCUGUGGUUCUUCAUGUACAUUAACAGUAUAGCCAUCUUUUCUCUAUGCUUUUCCCCUUUUUCUUUCCUUUGAUUUCCUCCCUCUUUUCUUUCUCUGUUUCACUUUCACCUUAUACUCUAGCUUGCAUGUGGGCAGAUCAACCUCUUACACUCCUCAAAGUGAUCACUUCUUNNNNNNNNNNNNNNNNNNNNNNNNNNNNNNNNNNNNNNNNNNNNNNNNNNNNNNNNNNNNNNNNNNNNNNNNNNNNNNNNNNNNNNNNNNNNNNNNNNNNNNNNNNNNNNNNNNNNNNNNNNNNNNNNNNNNNNNNNNNNNNNNNNNNNNNNNNNNNNNNNNNNNNNNNNNNNNNNNNNNNNNNNNNNNNNNNNNNNNNNNNNNNNNNNNNNNNNNNNNNNNNNNNNNNNNNNNNNNNNNNNNNNNNNNNNNNNNNNNNNNNNNNNNNNNNNNNNNNNNNNNNNNNNNNNNNNNNNNNNNNNNNNNNNNNNNNNNNNNNNNNNNNNNNNNNNNNNNNNNNNNNNNNNNNNNNNNNNNNNNNNNNNNNNNNNNNNNNNNNNNNNNNNNNNNNNNNNNNNNNNNNNNNNNNNNNNNNNNNNNNNNNNNNNNNNNNNNNNNNNNNNNNNNNNNNNNNNNNNNNNNNNNNNNNNNNNNNNNNNNNNNNNNNNNNNNNNNNNNNNNNNNNNNNNNNNNNNNNNNNNNNNNNNGAAGAUCACAAGUACUCUAGAAAGGUGAUAUCACUGUAAAGUGGCACCAUCCCCGGCAACGGCGCCAUUUGAUUCGUCCCUAGCAGCGGCAGUGGCAACGGCACCAUUUGAUUCGAGGUUCGAUCCCCGGCAACGGCGCCAUUUGAUUCGUGCCCAAUUGGUGUCUCAGCUGAUUCGUGUCCAGCUGGUGCUCCUUGAUUGAGGGAUUAAUCAACAAAAUUUAUAACCUAUAACACCAUAUACUAGGGUAGCAAAGACAAAGCUACUAUAGUAUAGUGGCUCUAGGAUCGUUCACUGGGAUGGGUUUUCACUUCACAAAUGAUAUCAAUUCAAAGCUGAAUUGGUGCCUUUUCAUUUCAAGGUUAGCUUUAAAAGAAAACAUAAAGAUGUUUGAAAGAAAAGAAUUUGGUUUUAAACUAACCAAAAGUAGUAACUGAUUUUACUUAUAAAGAAAAGUGUUUCUUGGAGUUCAGAUCACUAGGCUCAGAUUCCUCAUACAAAAAAGGAAUUCCGGUCACUUGUUUCUUUUCCUCGCAUUAGAGAUUCAACUUAUAGUUAAUUCUCUAACCGGUGUUGUACAGAUGCUUCCCAUUAAUGGGUUCAAACACUAAAUCCCUCUCACUGAUGCAACUUGCAAUGGUUCAUGCCUCUCACGAGCACUUACCAUUCAAGGAGAUCUUUAACCUUGGACUUCCCUUCACAAACUCGCAAGAGAUAACUAAUGGAUGUCUCCUAGGAGUCCAAAAGCUUACCAAGUGUUGGUAAUUCUAGAAAAUCCUACCUUCAAGUCACCUCCCAAAGGCUCGCAAGGGGUAAACUAGUGCAUUUCCAUGGUUGGAAAUCACUUGCCUUACCAAGUGUUGGCCCAGGUGACUCUAAGGUGUUUUAAGUUAACUAAAAAGAUAAAAACCAUUAACGGGUCACACUUUCUCUUCAUUAAAAACUAAAACAACAAAACUUCCAAAUUAUGCAUGUGGAAACUUACCCGGCUUUCCUCACUCCAAGAGACAAAAGGCUUAGCCUCUCAUCCUCUGAGGAAAAAUCCUCAGAGUUUGGUUGGCUAGAAAAUGAAAAUGAAAUGAAAAAUGAAAGAGAAGGAAAAACAGAGCAAGGCUCUGUAUAUUCUAUAUAUGAUCAAUAUUACGGAUUACAUAUAUGGUCCUCCUUUUUUACAGUGGAUGCAAGGGAAUAUAUAUAGAGGAGUUUUUCCAACCUUCCUAGCUAAGAAAUCUUAUGGUUGGUGGAUCACAAGGAGAAGAAUGGAAAUUCAUACAAAAAUAUCUGAAGAAAAAUAUCCAAAAGAGUCGGUGCAAAAAUAUCGGGAAGCACUAAGGACCAUUUCGCAGGAGAAAAUGGUGUCUGCGAGAUUUCGCAGACACUCAAGAGGGCUGCGAAAUAUUUUCGCAACAACAAGUUAAACUCGCAGUGCUGCGAAAUUGGCUUCCACCUUGAGGUUCUCAGCGUUCCAACUUGCGGAAUGUAUCGGGUAGCUUCAGGAGGAAUUCCAUAGGACUGUACAAAAAGGCUGCGAAAUUCUCGCAACAAAAGGCUGAUUUCGCAACACUUUGGAGUGAUCUUCUUGCAAUGGCUGUAACUCCUUCGUUUCAACUCCGAAUCGUGCACCGUUUGAAGCAUUGGAUUCUUGACUUCCUAAGCUUUGAAAUGAUAUAUAGAAUGUAGAAAAUGGACUUCGGGAAGUUCUCCAAAAGUGCGAAAGAAGACUGCAGCUAGCUUUCCUCUGUUUUCUUCACUCUGUUUUUCCUCUCUCCUUGCUUCUCUCCUUGCAUACUUUGAACGACUAUGGCAAAGGGAUAUGGAGCUCCAAAGCUUGGUUCUUCUUGAAUUUGAGCUCUUCAUUGCUUUGCCAUGGAUUCCAAAUAACUCUCCUCAAUCUUGGAUUGUUUUGGUGAUCAAAUUACUAACAAAAACACCAAAAACUUACACAAUUUGAUUAGAAAUGAUUGCAAGGGUCCUUAACAUGUUAAUUGAGUUAAAAGGCAAUAACUACUACUCAAAAGUGUUUAAAAGAGUUAAUUACAAGCUAUCAAAUAGCACUUUUUGAGUAGUAAUCAGUAAUGAAAUGAACAACUUUAAGAUGUGGACACUAUACGCCUAAAGAGGGAAAUCACAAUCUAUGACUCCAAGUCAAACCACUAAAGGGCGACUAGAAUAGGAUGAUCAACUCACUAAAAAUGAGAAUGCAACUAUCUCGAGAAAAGCGGUAUGCCCCAAAUGACACUCAACAGUUAAAGGAUGACACAAAUGAAACUAAAAUGAAAGGAUGUUACAAAUGAAACUGAAAUGAUAACAAACUGAUAACUAAAAUGCAAUGAACAACUCUGGGCCGUUGAUGCAAUGGAUAGCUCAAGAAUAGGGGAACUGUUUGCCCAAAAUGGGAGAUUGUGGUCUGCGACUCUGAGUCAAACCACUAAAGGGUGACUAAAAUCAAAAUGAUCAACUCACUAAAAAUGAGGAUCUGGACAUCUCAAGAAAGGGGUUAUGCCCCAAAUGAAACUCAAAGGAAAAAGACGCCACAAAUGAAACUGACAAUAGAGGGAUGCCCUAAACAAACUAACGAAAAAUGGAUGCCCUAAACAAACUGACGGAAGUGAAAUGCCCUAAAUAAAUUGACCAAAGAAGAAUGCACUAAACAAACUUCGAGAAAAAAAAAUAUGCGAUAUACAAUCGAAAACACCUAAAGCAAAAACAAGAAACAAAGAAUGUGGUUUACAACUAGAAACACCCAAAAGAACCCUAAAGAAGUGACUGGGAUAAUGAACUCAAUGAAAAUGGUGUAUGCCACAGUAAAAGACUCGGAAGUAUCAGCAAAUGGGUCAAACGAUCAUGAAAUUAAUAGGAGAUAUGAUGAACCCAAAAAGGGCAUAUGCCCCAACAAAAGAACACUAAAAGGGGGGUAUGCCCCAAUAUGAAAUAGUGACCAACAUAAGACACAGAAUGUCACCAUACAAGACACUAUAGGAUAUGUUCAAUGACAAUGUAAUGAAAACAUAUAGCCCCAAUCAACAAAUGUUCAAGCAAGACUAUGCAUCACAUAAACUAAAAUAAUAGGCUAAACAAAUGCUAACCAAGUCUCUCACUUUAAAAUGUAAGCAAGUCAAGACAUGACAUGUCAACCAUCGACAUGAAAACAUCAUCACAAAUACAUUAACAAACUAAUAGUCCCUACUAUCAUGGAAGAUGUAGAACCUAACGUCCAAAGGCAUGUGAAAACUCAACCAGAAAACUCAAGACUAGUUUGUAUCCUCCUCUAAUCAAGAGAGCUGUUAGGCUCUGCCAAGAUGGAUGUAGGUAUAAUAGUGUCAAAAGUAGGAUGUCUGGAUGUCCAACGAAGGAAACUGGGUAUCCAAGUCAAACCAAGUAUGUUGAGGAAACUGAACCCAUGGGACAAUAACUGGGUAUCGAUUGAGAAAUAUGCCCCUCCGUAAAGUACAUCAAUUGAAAUAUGCCAAUCAUGCCUCAUGCUCCAAUGUGAAAAAGGACGUAUAAUCUUCUUUGAGGGAUGGUCAUGACUCAAAAUCCAUCAUCAGUUGAGAGAAGUAUACCCCAGCAUAAUGGUCAUCUAAAAAAUCAAUCCCCAACUAAGAAAUGUGUGCCUUGAUGUGAUGUAUCAAGCAAAAUGGCUGCAUACCCCAUAAAAAACUCUCUGAGGUGGCUAUGCCCCAAUGUUGGAUCAUACCACAACUCCUAGUCUAUCACAAUCAAAAUGCUCUCCAACCAAUCCCAAGUAUCGCCCACAUGAGAGCUAUCAAACACAAUGUGUGAUGUCAUGGCCUCAAGGUGGUCUUAAGAUUCGGGACAUAACGUAGGCUAGGGUAAUAAGGUGAAGAAAUGAAGGAAAACUAGGCUUAAUAAUCCCAAUGAUAAAACCUCAUACCCUUAUGUAUAAAAUGCAAUAUGUGUAAAGAGUCUCAUAAACCAUGGAUCUAAGGACGCCCAAUAUGAAUAUAUUAGUGAGGAAGAAAAAAAUCUAAGAUGAAUAUAUCAAUGAUAAAAGAGAAGAAAUGAAGAAUAUCAAACUGCUGAUGGGAUGUAUAAGAAUGAUGUGUGGAAAAUAUUGAACAUGGAAUGUAAAUUGAUAUGAACAAAGAACAAUGUAGGCAAGGCGAAUGCGAUAUCAUGAGAAGAACAAAUAAAUCAAAGAAAAAUGAAUGAGCACUAAUCCACUCAAAUCAAGUCAUGGAGAAUAGUCAAAUCACCAACGUAUGUAAUGAUGGAGAAGACAAUGAUUCGAAGUCCCUAGGAAAAUGUCACUUGUUUCUCACACAUAAAAUACAUAACGAGAUAGACACAAAAAGAUGAGAGUUUUUUUAAAGUUCACGUAAGAACUUUCAUAAGCAACUAAUUCAAUAAAGCAACCUCAAUGACCAAUAUAUACACUCAAUAAAGGAUGACACUGUAUACAUGUGUUUAUUACUUUUUCUUUUUCAUUUUUUUUUCAUUUUUUUUCAUUUUUUUUCUUUUACUCGUGCAUACUUUGAAUAUCAAUAAAUGAACUUCUCUGAGAAUACAUAAUGAAAUGGAUAUACUCUCAAACAAUGAUGUAGGCGAACUCUCUCUGACAAGAUGACCCUCUAAAUUAAGGAUUUCCGAACUAACAUCCAUGAGAUAGGAGUGGAGGAGGAUAUGAUCAUUCUCCAUGCACCGAAAUGUGAAAGAUCAUCACUCAAGGCAUAAAAAAAUGUGAUGAAAAAAAUAAAAGAUGAAACAAAAGAUAUAAACAAUCAAGUAUGAUGAAGAAUGAUGUUGGGAUGACAAAAAAAUAGUGAAGAAUGUGAGCCAAUAAGUCCACAACUCAUGAAACUCUCGAAUAAAAUAUAUAUACACCAAAAGACCCUUAUCCCGGUGUAAAAUGUGAGCAAGGAUAUAAGAAAGAAAAGACUAUGAUGCUCAUGUGAGGUUCAAAGGGCUAGCAACGGUCCAAAUGUCAAUAAAGGUAAUAGGGUGUGAGCUAACCAAAAUGAAGGUCACCCAUCCUACGACCAUGGUCUCAAACAUCGUGCUCUUAAGCUUUCAAAUGAUCAAUACUGAAAAUCGAUGUCCAUUUGAUAUAAACACGUCAACCCUUUCGACUUGGGCGUCAAACCAUACUCCAAAUGCUCAAUAAUAAUCUCAAAGAUAAUAUUCUCAAAGAAAAGUAAAUGGCGAUCUCAUAAGGCACAACUACUCAUCACAAGCCAACUCUCAUCAUGCAAGAUCAAUCUCUAUUUUCAUGGAAAAAUAAGUGACAAUCUCAUAAGGCAAUCGACCAAUCCUCACAUCGUAAACCAACCAAAGAUCAUAAAUCAUUCAUUGCCAUGCAAGAUCAAUCCCAAGCUCAAACUCCUCAUACUCUACCUGGUUGGAUUAGAGAAGAAAUGGGCAAAGCUAGAAAAACUGAAGAUGGAAAGGUCAUAUAAUGGUGUCAAGGGUGAUGUUGUGCAAAACUCACAAUGGAUGGAUGUAGGUCAAAGCAAAGUCAAUGUGUGAGAGUGAGUAAGGCACUACUCUGAUCAUAAGAAGAUGGGUCACAAUCUCAAACUCCCAAGGUCAAAUCUCCGAUCCUAGGCUAAUAAGCUCAACAUCCUCCAUGAUAGGUCAACCCCCAAUAUCACAAUGUGCAAAUGAAUAGAAGCCUCAAGUCAAAAGUACAACACAUCAUAUGAUAUAUGGCCCUAUGAUGACAAUCUAAAACUGGAAAUAUGUUAGAAACUCUAAGGUCAUAAAGGUGUCCACUGUGAGAUGACUACAAAUGUGACUAAGGAAUCUUUAUCAAUAAUUCAAAAAAUGAAUGAGGUGUGAAAAACCACACUAUCAUGAGAUUGAUACCCCAUUAAUAACAAAAUAUCCCUAAUUCACUUUCAAUCUAAGCUCUAUAAAGAAAAACAAUAAGGUUAUAAAGGCAAACCUCUAAAAAAUGGAGUGAAUGUGAAAACAUGUCUUCACCUUUCUAUAAUGAAAAUAUCAGGUUGAAAAUAGAAAUAGGCAAAUCAACCAAAGAAUGAAGUACAAAGCCCAUGACAGGUGAAGAAUGUAAAAAGGUGAACAUGAUCAAUGAACAUAUCCCAAAACAUCAAGCAUAAAGUGACAACAAAUCGAAAGAAUGUGUCGACUUAAGAAAAGAAGACUACCUGAAGCCCUAGAAAGAAAGUGUGCUAGACUCAACGAGUGACAAGAAGAAACUAAAACCAUAUAGCAAGGGGGUGGUCCAACUGAUACUCAAACUUGCACCAAUAUCUAAGCACUCUCAAUUGGAGACCAAAAAAUGGAGUAUUGGAUCCAUACUGUGACUAAAGCGGCCUCGAAGGCUCUUAGAUGCAUCCACGUGUAGGAAAAGAAAUCCUAAUAAAAAUAUCUAAGGCUUAACCUACAAGGUCAAGGCGUCUCUAAAAAGAAAAAUUAAGUGGACUUUAAAGGAUCCCUAGCAAAAACGAUCAUACCUUCCGAUGGUACGCAACCUCCUACACGUCUUGAAAGAUACGGGAGUGAUUCCAUGCAAGGUGGUCAUCACCUCCACACAUGCACUAUCUCAUAUCCUAGAGGGUUUCCUAAUGAUGAAGACUCUUACAUCUCUCAACACUUAGUGGUAAUCUAAGGUGCACAGUGAACGGUGUGGGUUCAUCCGAAAAUCCUAUCAAACUAAGCAAAGAGAAAACACACUAGUCACACAAAUAUCCUGAAAUCUAGCUCUAACCUAUACAAGUCUUCAAAGAUUGAACUCCAAUUAGCAUUAAUGUUUUGACCUUCUCUAGAAUGCUCCCAAACAUAGAUAUAGUCCAUUACUAAACCCUACUCUGAAUACUAGCUCGGUCGAAGAGCAAACAAAGUAACAAGUCUCAUAUCAAAUACGAGAUCAAGGGGAACACAGUCACCUGAGACUAGGGAAUUGGAGGUAAUGGGAUAGAUGUGUGUCCCACAUAGACAAGCAACAUUCAUCACACAGAAGAAGAAUAGUCAUGCAAUAGACAACCAAGCAAAGAACAGGUAUAUCAUUCAUAUCUACACACAAGCUAAACAAGAAAUAGGUAUAUAACAAGAAUAAACAAUAUGUUGAGAUAAACAAGAUAAUAUACAAUAAAGAGAAUCAAUCAUGCCAAUAUGAAUGAGAUAUACAAAAAUGAGAAUAUACAUGUUAAGGAGAGCAAGAUAAUCAUACAACAAGAAGAGUCUUAUGUUAAAGCAAACAAGAGAAUCAAUCGAUGUAGUCAACAUGUCAAUAUCGCAAAUGAACAUAAUAGCCAAAUAUGCAUCAUAAAGAAAAAAGGGUAAUCAUGCAGCACACAGUCAUACAAAACAAAUACAGACAAACAUAAGCAAAUAAAUGUAAACACACAUGAUAACAAAAAUAAAUGUAUAGUAAGGCACAUGCAAUAUAUACAUAAAAUAAUCAUCAAGUCAACACUCAUAUACCUUGAAACAUGAAAAUAUACAAUAAAGACACAACGAGAGGGUAUUCACUAAUCAAUUAAUCAAACGCUACAUUUCCCUUAACUUGAGUUCAAGUUUGAUCCUUUAAAUAUCCCUAGUGGAGCUGCUAAUUUGUGAACCCAUAUUUUUCACAUGCGUCCUUACACAACAGCGAGACUCAUUUUUUUUAUUUGGUGAAAUUUUGAUUUUUAGAAAAAAGACUUUGAGUCGUCACUUAUUUUUGUUUUUUUUAAGGGAAAAUAAAAUAAGAAAGAAAAACUUGUGUGACUCCAUAUUUGGGAAAGACAUGUAUGCAAAAACCAAAUCUAGAUUCAGGGGUCAAGUUACCUAUUGGGAAUGUACGAUGGUGAGCUGUAGCAUCUCUCUAAGCUCAUAUACGUACGGUCUCUACUAAACAAAUUAAGAGAAUUGUGGUAAUUAAUUAAUUAGUCAUGGAUACCAAGAAAAAGAAUUGCACAAAUGAGUACGUACAAAUCAUGAUAAAAAAAAAUCAAAUUAUAAGAAUAGACAAAAUAAAUAACAAGAGAAUUGUGCAAAGUGAUUUAUUAAACUAAAUAAAAAAGAAGAUAUUAAAAAAAAAAUUAGUUUUCAAGAAAUUUCAAAGGAUUUUGUUAAAAUGAUUUUGAAUUAAUGAUUUUAAUUUAUUUAUUUACAAAAAAAAUGUCAAUUUAUUUUCUUCAAGUGAUUUGAUUCAAUUUCAUUUGUAUUCAAUUUUUUUUUAAAGUUAUUUACACUCAUGGUUGUUAAAAGAAUUAUUAACAAAAUUUCAAGUUGACAAUAAAAAUGAUUUUUACUUGCUUUUACUCGAAAACAAUGAAUUUUUACAAUUUUAUUAACAAAAGCAUUUCAAUUUAAGAAAGUGACUUAUACAAAUUAUUAAAAAAAAUAUAACUUUAUCUACAAAAGAAUUUUUAAUUAAAAAGAAAAAAUUUAAAUCCUCUAUUUUAAAAAAUGACUUUUAAUCCCAUUUUAAUUAAGGAAAAAUGAGUUAUUUAAAAAAACAUUUUUUGGACAAUUUGAAUAAAAAUUAAUUUUUGGGACAACUUUAUUUACAAAACAAUUUUUGAACAAUUGUUAUUAAAAACAAAAUUUCAAAUUCUAUGAAAAACAAUUUUUUGGAUUUUUCCAAACACAUUUUUAUGAAUUUUUGUUAAUAAAAAACUUUUUUUUAUUAAGAAGAAUAUUUUUUGAGAUAUUGUUUUAUUAAAACAUGUUUAUUGAAUUAUUCUUCUUAUUCAAACAAAAAUUAUAAUUUGUUCGAUAUCCAAUUCUGUACAUAACAAGUAAAUAUAUACAAACAAAUAUUUAUAAAAACUAAUAAAAAUAAAACCAAAUAGAAGUGAGAAAUAAAACAUGUGCUUAAACAAUCUUACAACAAGCUCAAUGUAUUUCUACGACUUUUCGAGUCUCACUUUCUUACAUUAAAUUUUAUGCUCUACGUACCAUAAAUUCGUACUCAACCAACAAAAUUGCAGAAUUGGCCUAUGCAAAAACAAAAAUAACACAAAUGUAAAUAUCUAAAAAUGUAUAAAGUUCAUAAUAGAUAUUCAAGCCCAAAUUCAAAUUUCAAAUUAGUCCAACAAAUUUCGUCAAUCAAAAUGGGUUCAAAUUAGCAAAUAUAACCCAAUAAAAAUAUCUCACAUGUCAUAGGCCCUAAUAUAAAAUUUCCAAAUUAAUAACCAAAAUAUAAGUUCAAUUAAUCAAACCCAAAACAUGAUACAUUAAAACAAAUCUCAUUAGGCUUAAACUUAAUAUCUCAUAAUUCAAUAUAUAAACCUAAAUCCGCAGUCAAAAUCAACUCACUUUAUGCUAAUCCCAAUUUAUAAUCAAAAUCAAACAUAAUUUAAUAAGUAAAUAACUAAAUAAAUUAAGCAAACUCAAAAAUCGAACCACUAUUGCAUAAUCAAACAAUAAUAAAUAUAAUGACAAUAAUAAUAAUAAUAAUAAUAAUAAAAAUAAUAAUAAAAAUAAAAAAUUUAACUCACGUUGGAACCAGUUUGAGUGUCGUGGGAAAGAAAGAAAAUGAGUGAAAAGUGGGAGAUGAUCGUUAGCUGGUAGUGGCUCGUCGGUGGCGACUGGUCGAUAGUCCUAUCGGCGGUAGAGAGGAUUGAUGAGUUUUUAGGAAAGGAAAAAAAAAAGAGUAAUAAAAAAAAAAUGGAGAAAUGAGAGGAAGGUGGGAUAAGAGAGGAGAGAGAGAAUGAAGAAAAUAGGGAAAAAGAAAUGAGGUCGGCUAGAGGAGGAAGUGGUAGUGUGUGUGAGCUAAAGUGAAGAAGAAUGAAAGAAGAAGAAGGAGAAAAAUGGGGAAGAAGGGGAAAAAAAUUCGAGCCCCCUAAAUGAAGAAAGGUGAGUAGCCUAAAGAAGAAGAAAAAAUAAAAUAAAAUAAGAAAAAAUGAGGAGAAAAUGAGAGGGCCAGUAGUCUUGGGAAUGGGGUGGUAUGGGUGAGAGAGAGUGGGUGGGGGGGUUGUUGGGGAAGGUAUGGGAGAGAGAGGUAAGAUAAAAGAAAGAAAAAAAAAACAUAAUAAUAAUAAUAAUAAUCAUAAAUAAUAUAUAAAAUAAUAAAAAUUAAUAUUUAAAUGAUGAGUGGGUCAAAAAUAUUAUAUGUAAUUGGGAUUUAAUUUUAAGAGUAAAAUUGGAUUAAAAAUUAAUGUAAAAAUAAAAUUAGAACAAAAUUUGGAAUCUACAAAUACAUUCUUUAAUCUUUCCACAACAUCAAUCUGAUAUAAAUCAAAUGCAAUAAAUUCUAAAAAUGAUACAAUCUUUAAUCAAUCCACAACAUCAACCCGAUCAAAACUUAAUGCAAUAUUGCUUAAUGGAGAGAAUCGUAAAAUCCUUUUAUGAGAGGAAAACAAAACCCUUAACAGACCUUUAUGAGAGGAAAAUAGGAAAACAUAGAACUAAAAACCCUUAACGCAUUCACGAGAAUAAAAAAUCUUUAACACCUUAAUAAGAGGAAAACAAAGAAUUUGAACAAUCCUUAAUCCAUCAAAAGCUCUUAAUAUGAACGAGGGGAAAACAUAACCUUUAUUUUUCAGAUCGUUGAAUAAAGAAUCUAAAGAGAUAGAAUUUUUAGUUAUUAAGGAUUUUUUAUAGAUGUCUAUUGAAUGUUUAAGAACUUUUAUGGAUAAGUGUUAAUUAAGAGACUGAAAGGGUACUUAGGAUUUUCAACUAAAAAAGUUAUAACAAUAUGAAUCGUAAGAACUUAAAAACAUCACCCAUCCAAUAGAGGAAUAUGGAAUGAGAGGUUAUUUUUUUACUUAUACAACAAUAAACUUUUUUGGAAGAGGUUUUUCUAAGUACAAAAAGUUAUGAAUAAAAAACUAUUAUUAUGAUGAGUUAACUAAAAUAGAAUUAAUUUAGAAAAUAUCAAUAAAGUUGCAUGAAUUAUUAUCAUGAGUUAACUUAAUAAUAAUUAAUAGUAAUAAAGUUAAUGAAGUGAAUUUGGAUUGGCAGAUAUAUUUGAUGAUAAGAUUUUUUUAAUAAUAAAAAAUUAUUAUGGCAUGAAAAAUAGGACAAAAUUAACCUUAUGAUAAGAUUUUUUUAAUAAUAAAAACAUUAUUAUGGUAUGAAAAAAGGGACAAAAUUGGCCUUUCCUUAAUUGUAACCACCCCAAAAGGUAGGAAGAAUCUCCAACCCCCAUUCUCGGCUCCCUUAUCUUUUCCCCUACAACCAAAAUUCAACAACUAUCUUAGAAUGUCCUUCAGUCCACCAGAUCUGGAUCCCUUUGAUUUUCGUCUUCUUUUUUCUUUCCUCCUUUCCCUUUUUCUAGUUUCUUCCUUCAAAAUCCAUCCCUCAUAUCUCUCACAAAUUUUCUGUCCCACCUUCUUCUCUUCCUCCCAAUUUCCUUUCUAUAUAUAUAGUUUCUGUCUUUCCUUUGUUUCUCUCUUCAAAAUAUUCUGAUUUUCCCCUUAGAAAUUUGAUUUUUCUCUUCAAAUAUUUUGAUUUUCCCACUCAAAAUUCCGACUUCCCCCCAUAAAAAUUCUGGAUUUUCUUUCCCAAUUUGGCUUAAAGAUAGUCAUAUUUUUUUGUUCCCGAAAGACAUUAUGUGUCUUUUGAAACAUUCGAAGGGUGAUCAUGUAUGGACAGAAUUAAAAAGUAUGGUUGGUAAGUUGGGAGACAGGAUGGGAUGGGAGAUUUAAAAUUAAAAAUCAAUAAAAUAAUAUUAGAAUAAAAUAAAGAAAAGAAAUAGUGAGUAAAAACAACACCUAUACAUCACAAUAAUGAAAACAAAAUUGAUUGAUCACCAGCUAACAUUAGGAGAUUAUAAGAUAAAGAUGUAAUUGCAAUUAUUGAAAUCACUUAAAGAGAAAAAAUUAGGAACAUGCUCACUAUAAAUAAAAUCACCUUAGAAUUAAAAAUUAGGGACAUGAUUAUGAUGAUUAAAAUCACUUGAGAACUAAAAUGUUUUAGAGAUACAAUAAUUGAAAUCAACUGAAAAAUAAAUUCGGUAUGUGGUCGCAAUUAAUGUAUAUAUAAACAACCAAAUGUUGAAAGGAAAAACUAAUGGAAUUAAUGCGAUUUUCUUUUUAUGGUUAGAUUUCUCUUGACACCAAACAAAUGUAAGGAAGUUUAUAAAGGAAAAUUAGGUUUUGAUUCACUAAAUUAAAAUAAUAUAGAAAAAGAUCUUCAAAUUUUAUAUAUAUAUUUUUUCAUAACUCAGAUUUUCAUUAGAAUAGUGUCAGGAGUUGAACGCCAGUGGGAAUACAGGCUUAUGGAAACAAAUCUAUCCGACUAGUAGGUUCUUAUUAUUUUCAAUAUAGACCCCAUAAAAUAAAUAGGAGAUGGGCAGCCCGUCCCUUUUGUGAGGCCAUCCUCCCAACUUAUUAAAGGUGAUGUGAGUUUAAGACAGUGACAAAAUUGUCGGUUACUUCCCAAACCUGCUCUCCACAGGCAAACCCAGUGAUCCAGAAAUUAAUUGGUACCUGACACGUGACUACCAAACGUUCGCUCACCCACCAUACCCAUGGCCUCAUGCCCCAUAUAUUUCCACAAACCUAGCUCAAUUUUCAUAGCCACCUUCACUGUCCUACACUCACUAAGCCAUGGCCAUAGAUACAAGCCUCUUGCUUAAGCUUGCUGCAGCAAUUCUACUCUUCUUUAUCACCCGCUUCUUCAUUCGUUCUCUCCUUCCCAAACCUUCCCGGAAGCUCCCUCCUGGCCCCAGAGGGUGGCCGCUCCUCGGCGCUCUUCCUCUUCUAGGUAACAUGCCUCAUGUUGCACUAGCAAAGAUGGCCAAAAGAUACGGACCUGUCAUGUUCUUGAAAAUGGGCACUAACUGCAUGGUGGUGGCCUCAACUCCGGAGGCAGCUCAGGCUUUCCUUAAAACCCUAGACAUUAAUGUCUCGAACCGCCCGCCUAAUGCCGGUGCAACACACUUGGCCUAUGAUGCCCAAGACAUGGUUUUUGCGGAUUAUGGGCCAAGGUGGAAGCUCCUGAGAAAGCUAAGCAACUUACACAUGCUUGGUGGGAAGGCUCUUGAGGACUGGUCUCAGGUUCGAACUGUUGAGCUAGGUCACAUGCUU
rnacentral:lncRNA from 1 species